rnacentral:lncRNA from 1 species
AUAAUUUAUGUUUGUAUAAAGCGAAAGAGAGAACGAUUUUUUAUAUACAAAUAUUUUUGUCAACGAUUUAUACAAACGAGAGGCUAACAACAAUUUAUACAAAUGGCUUGCCAGCAAAAUUAUAUAAAUCUGAAGAGGAGCCAACGAAUUAUACAAUUGCUUCUUUUUUGUAUAUAUGUAUAGCGAAAUAGACAUAACUUUCAAUUGUAUAUGUAUAGCGAAUUAUACAUAUAUAUGUUUACUAUGAAGCGCAAUUAUGCAAACUUUGUUAUAGUAUAUAAAUAUGAUGUUUUUAUUUGCUAUAUUUGAAAAUUGCUCUAAACUUUAUUCCAAGUCUUAAAAGUUGGUGAGACCAGACCAACAUUCUUUUGUCCAAUUAGAGAUUACCAGUUACCCCUAAAAACAUUCUUUUUUCUCCUCCUUCUAAUUUGAUCAAAAGAUAUAUAGCACAGUUAUCAAAAGAAAUAAUUCGAAUUGCAGUAUUUCACAAGUUUCCUGAUUCUGUUGUCUUAAUUAAUUCCAGCAAAUUAUGCGAGGAAAAGAAAAACAAAAAUAUUAGGGAGUAAAUUUUAGGUUUAGCAAACAUAAAAUCAUAUUUGUAUUCUAUAGCUAUAAUUUGUAUAAUUGCGCUCCAUAGCAAACUUUAUGUUUGCUGUGACUAUUAAUAUGUAUAUUUUGGUAUACAUAUACAAAAAAAUCAAUUGUAUAAUCUGUUUCGGUAUACAUGUAUAAUUUGUGUUUGUAUAAAGCGAGGAAGAGAGAAAGACAAAAGAAAACUAGGGCAGGGAAAGACCUAUAUUUGUAUAAUUAUAAGUGUAUAGGACGAAAUAUAUGUAUUGUAUUUGUAUUUGUAUAUACAAUUUUCUCUCGCUUUAUACAAACACAAACGCAAUUUACACAUUUGUGUUUGUAUAAAGUGAGAGAGGCGAGUGAGAGUGGAGAGCGAGAUCUGGGAAAGUGGCGAGCGAGAUUCUUUGAGGGAGAGAUGCGAAUGAAAAGAUAUGUAUAUAUACAAUUUUCUCUCACUUUAUACAAACACAAACACAUUUUAUACAUUUGUGUUUGUAUAAAAGUGAGAGAGGCGAGGGAGCCAGCGCAAAACGAGAGUGACAAGCGAGAAUUUCAGGGAGAGAGACAAAUGACAACAAUUUACUAUGAGUUACAAUUAAAUCAAAUUGUGAUUAUAACAUUUAAUUUGAAUUAAUGGUUUGUUAUUUUAUACAAUUUUCCCAAUAUUAAGGGGAUCUAUUAUGAAAAAAAUGAGCAACAAAGAAUUGGGUCACGACUAAUAAGUCCGGUAUGGAUAUAUGACGAGUCCAAUUGGACUUAGUUGGGCCAUUAUAUUUUGCAGGAUAAAGUUUCACAAAUUCGAUUGGGCUAUUUCUUUAUGAACUGUGACCUGAAUCAACUCAAAAGAAAAAGGAAUAGAGUAUGGAUGUGUUUGAACUUUGAUAUGAUGGAAAAAUAUUUCCUAAUACAUAUACCUAGAGGCGCCGCCGACAACCAUGACAGUGAUGAUGGCUGGCCAGCCUCUGAUGGAGGCAGGUCAGCAGACUUAUGCUAGUUUAUUGCGCCCAACAACGGGAGCUGUGAAAUCAUUGCCGCUCAAGCCAAUUUCGUACUUGCACGGAGAACCUAGAUUAGUCUGGGAUCAGUCGGAGGUAGAACAGAUGAUAGUUAAUGAGAAUCUCCAAUAUGCUGUGGUUGGAAAGUUUUCAUAUGGUUGGCCUGACAUACAAGAUUUACGCAAACUAAUCCCAAAACAAUGUGGACUGAAAGGUGAAUGCAAUAUAGGCUUGCUGACUAACAGAUAUGUGCUGAUUAGGGCGACCCUUUUGGAAGAUUAUGUUAAUUUGUUGUCGAAGCCGGUGUUCUACAUUGCUCAACAAAACGGGACUUAUCCGAUGAGGACAUUGAAGUGGGAUCCGCUAUUUGAUCCUGAAGAGGAGACGUCGACAGCGAUAGCAUGGAUCUCAUUCCCUUCAUUACCCCCUAAUUUCUUUGGGAAAGAAACAAUUUUUUCCUUGGCAGCUGCAGUAGGUAAACCUUUACAAGUGGAUAUGGCGACAAAAAAUCAAACAAGACCGAGUUGUGCUAGAGUGAAGGUGGAAGUGGAUUUGCUUAAGGAGUUUCCAAAGAGAAUUAAUAUUGGGAUCAAAUCCAACGGAGAGGUGCAGGAGAAGUGGAUCAAGAUUAAAUAUGAUUAUAUGCCCAAAUAUUGUAAAACAUGUAUGAUACAAGGCCAUGAUGAACAACAAUGCUAUGUGGAACAUCCAGAAUUACAUCCAUACAUGCAGAAAAAUAUGGAGAAUGCAAGGGAAAGUGGAGAAGAGAAGAGAACAGAUGAACAAAUUAGUUCGAAGCAACAAAGAGAAAUGGGAGAAAAUACAUUCACGAAGGGGAACAUGGUGAAAGAACAUGACAGGAGAAGGAAAGAGGAGAGUAAGGUGGAGAAAGGUCAAGAAGAUAGGCAAACCAAGGGAGGGUUAAGAAAAAGGAUAAAUCAGGUAUGGACAAAAGUGGGGGUUAUUACCACAAACAAAUUUGAGGCGCUCAAUGACAAGGAAGAGACAGAGAGCAUGGACCAGGGUAAAUCGGAAGAAGUAGGUGGCACUGACUGCUCCACAAAACUGUGGGUGGAGAGCACUUUUACGCCUCCAGCCAAGACAACUGAUAGCGAGAAGAAAAGAGAGGAAGGGGGAAAUUCAAAAGGAAGUAUGAGAUCACAACAAACAAAGGAGGCUGGCAGAGAAACACAGGAGAACCAAAUCAAAGGAACAACACACAAAGAUCAUAUUGAGGAAUCAGAUGAAGGAGUGCAUACUCCUACGGGGUUACAUCUAGUAAUUGCAGGAACACCAACACAACUACUCACAAGGGAGUACUCGGAGGAGUACAUAAAGAACAAACAAGAGAUGGAGGAGGAUGAGGAAAUGGAAGAAAACAUUCAACAAAUAAGCAGGGCUGGUGAUUUAUCACCAAGGCACGUUAAUAGUCUGAAGAAGGGUAUAAAAAAAGGCAAAUCGAUUAUACCACUGCAGGUCAAAACAAGGAGUAAUAAGAUGAUGAGCACACAUAUUUAUCAAUGAUUGACAAAAUAAUAUUCUGGAACAUAAGGUCAAUCAACACUCAAAAAUCAUUUGAGCGAUUGAUUGACCUUAAUAGAAGACAUCAAUACAAAUACCUAGCAAUAUUGGAACCGUUCAGGGAGGCAAGUGAACUGGAACAAUAUAGAAGGAGGUUAGGAUACAGAAAUGCUCUAGCUAAUGCGGCAGGAAAAAUCUGGAUUUUUUGGGAUGAUGACUAUGAUGGGCAGAUUGUGUUGGACACUAAUCAACAACUAACGAUAAAGUUGUCUAAAUACAACAUUAGUGUAGUUGUGACAGCAGUAUAUGCUAAGUGUAGCAGUGAGGACAGAAAGGAACUAUGGGAUGAUCUUGUGCAUCUAGCUGAAGAGAAUGACAAUCCGUGGGUAGUAGGAGGGGACUUCAAUGUCAUUCUAAGGGAAGAAGAGAAAUUAGGAGGGCUUGCUUUUACACAAUCAGAAGCAGUGGACUUUGCUCAGUGUCUCAACAACUGUGCUAUAGCUGAGCUAAAGUUCUCGGGGAGUAUUUUCACAUGGUGGAAUGGCAGAGUAGAGGAGGAGUGUAUUUUCAAGAGGUUAGACAGGGUCCUGGUAAAUCAGGAAUUUUUAGAUCUAUAUCCCACCUGUGAAGUCCAUCAUUUAGUGAGGCAGGGUUCGGAUCAUGCGCCUCUGCAUAUGGUUUGCAAUACUAUUGAGCAACCUAUUAUCAGACCCUUCAGAUUCCUCAACUUUUGGACUAAACACAAAGGAUUUAAGGAGGUGGUUCAGCAGCAUUGGAAAUCGGAUAGACAGGGAAGCCCAUUUAUAAUGUUUCAGGACAAGCUAAAGAACACAAAAAGGGCGUUGGCAAGAUGGAGCAAAGAUACUUUUGGUGAUGUUUUUCAGAGAAUUGCCACUUUGGAGGAUAUAAUCAGGGUAAAAGAACUGCAACUUGAGGAACAACCAACUCAUAACAACAGAGCAGAACUGAGUAAGGUGGAGGCAGAGUUGAGGAGGUAUCUAGUUAUUGAAGAAGAAUACUGGAGACAAAAAGCUGGGAUGAAAUGGUUUAAUGAAGGGGAUAGAAACACAAAGUUCUUUCAUUCAUAUGUUCGAGGAAGGAGGAAGAAGCUUCACAUAGAAAGUAUUAAAGAUAUUAGAGGAAUUGAAGUAUCUGAUAACGAUCAGAAGGGAGAGGCAACAGUAGAAUUCUUUCAAAACCAAUUCUCGGCAGAGGCUUGUAAUCGAGAUUAUGGCAUGCUUCAACAUAUUCCUAGAUUGAUCAGUGAAGAACAGAAUGAGGAGAUGUCCAAGCUUCCAAGUUUAGAGGAAGUAAAGAAAAUGGUAUUCAAGUUAAAUGGAGAGAGUGCCUCCGGACCAGAUGGUUUUUCGGGAAGUUUCUUCCAACAUUGUUGGGAAAUCAUUGGGGAAGACCUUACAAGAUUAGUCAAGGCAUUUUUCUGUGGGCAGGAGCUGCCCAAAUUCAUUACACAUACUAAUCUAGUAUUGAUCCCAAAGAAGGAGAAUGUGCAAGAGUUCAAAGAUUUGAGACCUAUCAGCCUAAGCAACUUCACAAAUAAGGUGAUCUCACGAAUGGUUCAUGAAAGGUUAGUAGGUGUACUACCAAAUAUUAUUUCUCAGAACCAAAGUGGUUUUGUCAAGGGGAGAAGUAUAACAGAAAAUGUGUUAUUGGCUCAAGAAAUAAUAAGAGGCAUGCAUUUAAGAAAUAAAGAAGCCAAUGUAGUGGUAAAGCUAGAUAUGGCUAAGGCAUAUGAUAGGGUUGAUUGGAUAUUCUUGACAAAGGUCCUACGAAAGUUUGGGUUCUCAGAAAUGAUUAUAGAUAUGAUCUGGAGGUUAAUUUCGGGGAAUUGGUAUUCCAUAAUGAUCAAUGGUCAGGCACAUGGUUUUUUUCACUCCUCUAGAGGGUUAAAACAAGGAGAUCCUCUCUCCCCAACUUUAUUUGUUAUAGCAGCUGAGGUUCUUUCCAGAAAUCUCAAUAAUCUGAAUGAACAUGAGUCAUUUAAAGGUUUUGGGAUGCCAAAGUGGAGCCCUAAGAUUAACCACCUAGCAUAUGCAGACGACACCAUUUUAUUUGGGUCAGCAGAGAGACAAUCAGUGAUAAAGAUGAUGAAUGUCUUAAAGGAGUAUGAGAGAGUUUCAGGACAAAUGAUCAACAAAGAUAAGAGCUUCUUUUAUGUUCAUGAAAAAACUCCCUUGGUGGUGACUAUACGGAUGAGAAAGUUGACUAGAAUACGGCCUGGGAAUUUCCCAUUUACAUAUCUAGGUUGUCCCAUAUACUAUGGAAGAAGGAAUAAAUGUUAUUUUGAAGGCCUGGUAAGGAAGAUUGCUGCGAGAAUUUUCUCAUGGCAUAAUAGAUUUUUGACUUUUGGAGGAAAAAUAAUACUAAUAAAUCAUGUGUUGCAGUCUAUGCCAAUAUACAUGUUAUCUUCUAUGACGCCUCCAAAAAGUGUGAUAAAUCAGAUUCAUCAGCUUUUUGCGAAGUUUUUUUGGGGAAACUGUUCUGGGGCUAGAGGAAAGCAUUGGGUCGCAUGGUCAGAGAUGUGUUAUCCUAAGCGAGAAGGGGGAUAGGUUUCAGGUCCCUGGCAGAUAUAUCAGAUGCCCUAUUUGCUAAGCUAUGGUGGAAUUUUAGAACUAACACAUCAUUGUGGAGCACAUUUAUGUGGAGCAAAUAUUGUAAAAAAUUCCAUCCUACAAUAGCACACAAUAUAGGAGCAUCACAGGUCUGGAGAAAGAUGAUGAGAAUUAGAGAAGAGGUGGAACAUGAGAUAUGGUGGCAACAAAAAGGAGGGACUGCUAGUUUUUGGAUGGACAAUUGGACAAAGCUCGGAGCUUUGUACUUUAUUGAACCACAAGGAUUAAAUGAGGAGGUGGAAGUGAAGGAUAUGAUUCAGAAUGAAGAAUGGGAUAUACCCAGACUUCGGCAAAUGAUUUCUGAGGACAUGGUGAACUACAUUGUGGAGAACAUUAAUCCUAUUAUGGAGGGGGAUGACAAAGCUUGGUGGAUGGGCAAUACACAAGGUGAGUUUACUGUUAAAUCAGCAUUUCAAUUAUUGAGAAGGAGAAGGGAGGAGCAGGACUGGAUGAAUAACAUAUGGAUAAAGGGCCUCCCCUUUAAGAUCUCAUUCUUUCUGUGGAGGGUCUGGAGGAAGAGAAUUCCUACAGAUGAUGUCUUAAAAAAGAUGAAAAUAAAUAUGGUGUCAAAAUGUUACUGUUGUAAUGUGGGGGAAGAGGAAACUAUACAACACCUAUUUCUUACGGCUCCUAUAGCUCAACAGCUAUGGAACCAUUUUGCUUCAUGUGCAGGUAUUAAUAUUGAAGGAUUACACUUACAGCAGCUCAUAACUACCUGGUGGGACUGGCCAGCUAAGCAUAAGGUGAAACAAAUGCUCAAUGCAAUGCCAGCUAUUAUAAUGUGGGAGUUAUGAAAGAGGAGGAAUGCAAGAAGACAUGGAAGAGAUGUAUCAUAUGUGAAGAUGCGGAGUCAAUGUCAACAAACGGCACAGAUGCUAUUGAAAGUGAGGUAUCCAUGGAUUAAAGGAGGGGAUCAGAAUUGGAAAGAGUUGAUUACCAGUUUAGACAAAUACAAGCCAACACUACAUUAUAAAUUGGUAUUUUGGGAACCACCAAAAACAGAUUGGGUGACUUGCAAUACAGAUGGGGCUUGUAGGGGAAAUCCAGGACAGAGUUCAUAUGGAUUUAGCAUUAGGGAUACUAAAGGUGAUCUGAUUUAUGCUGAAGCACAACGCAUUGGGGAGGCAACAAAUAUGGAGGCAGAACUAAUGGGGGUUUGGAAGGCAUUGCGUUACUGUGAUACUAAGAAUCUUCAGAACAUCAUUUUGGAAAUGGAUUCUUUGGCAGUAAAAAACAUGAUAACAAAACAGUGGAGGAUCCCUUGGGCACAUACAGUAAAAAUGGAGGACAUACAAAGGAGCAUAAAAAAUAAGCAGGUGCAUGUUAAACAUAUCUUUAGAGAAGCAAAUCAAUUAGCAGAUUAUUUAGCAAAUACAGCAUUAGACCAAGCAGAAACAGUGCAAGCACAGGGUUUCUACGAUCUAUCAAGCAAAGGAAGAAGAAUCCUCAACACAGAUAAGCAUAAAGUCCCAUCAUUGAGAAUAAAAACACGAAGAAUUUGUCCAACAUGCUAAUAUAGAGCAGGGCAUGAAAGUACAGAUGUUCAGAAGAGAUGAUUUAAUUAUGUACAUGUCUAAACUACUUAAGCUUACAAAAAGGACCAGAUUAAAGGGGGAUGUCAAACCCAAUUUUUAGAUGCAGCACUGACUCGUUUCAGCAGGUGACUCAAGCCUUCAGAAGGAGCUCCUUGGGUCAACCCAAUAAAACAUCAUCCAUGUAGUUCUUCGCAACUACAAAAUGGAAAAGGAAGUCACAAGAAGUAGGAAAUGGGCGAAAUUAGUAUUGACUUACCUUGUGAGCUGAUAGAAGUUCCCCCACUCCAUGUUUGUAGGAAUUUCAUCUUCAUGAUGCGAAGCAAGAGCAAAGAGAGGGAGAAGGGAGCUGGGAAAUUGGUUACGGCGGAGCACAGUUGAGAGGAAGUAGGAAAAUGCUUUUAUUUCCUAUUUUGGGCCUUCCGCCUAUGUUGUAUUUUGGGUUUUAGUUGAUAAUCAAUAAAAGGACUGCUGGUCCAAAAUUUAAAUUAAAAAAAAAAAUAUAUAUAUAUACAUUUUUAAUAAACGUUUCUCUUACAAAAAAAAUAUUCUUUUGAUGUAAUAAAUUUUAUCAUGUAUAUUUAUCCCAUAAAUCUAUAUCAUAAAUAAUACUGUAACUAUAAUCUAACUUUGCAACAAAUUAUAUUUAUACUAUAAUGUACAUGGUAAAUUUUACCAACAUGUAAUAAUUUAUACCAUGGUUGGACAAAUAUCUUGUAAUUAAGACAGUUUAGGGACUAAUUUGAAUUAAGAACAUUGGCUUAAUUGCAAGUCACAACUGAUCAACUUAAAUAGCAACACAUUAGCAAAAUGAUAUUUCAAUAUUAUUAUAAUAUUUCUAGAAAUAUUACAAUUUCGUAAUAUGUUUGGUUUCUACUGCAUUAUUCAUGUAUAUAUCAGGCAUAUACGAUGUGAGUAAUGUCUGCAAGAAACAAUUGAUGCUAAAGGUGGUGGAUGAUAUAUAACUUCACUGAAUCUUGAUUUUGUAGUUCCAGAUCUUGGCCAAAUGAUUUCACAUUUGUUAAUUUAUAAUAAUGUUUAAAGUAGAGAAAUCUUGAGCUCGAAAAUAUAAGACGGCUACAUUUUCUAUUAUACACCGAAUAGGGAGCCUGUUGGUGAUAUCUCUCUCAGCAACAUCAAUGUAACACUUGAGAUAGUUCAAUGGUUAUUAUUAAACUGUCGUAUAUGAUCCACAAUUCUGACCAACCAAACUAACCCUAUUACAUAACAAAUUAUUUGAAGUAUUCAAUUAUUUUAAAAUUUAUGGGGACCAGACUUGAACAUAGAUUACUGAUGGAGUUAUGGUGGGAAUAAUAAAAUAACAAUUCAAACUUUCAAAGGUCUCCUUUUUAAGUCCACAAUAGUUAAUAAUCACGUUUUGUGAUAAUUACUAUUAAUCGUCGUCAUUCAACAUUUGAUUUUAAGUGUUCAUACAUCAAGGAUAGCGCACAUCCCUCAUUUCUACUUUAAUUAAUGGAUGAUCAAAGAUCUUAUAAUGACAUGGGCCUAAUAUAUAUAAUCCAUUUUCAUUUAUUUAUAUUUUUGGUUUUAUAUUGAUGCCAUGUGCAUAUGAAUUCUGAAUAUAGCUUAUAUUUAGCUUACUUUUCCUUAUCAGUUCCAUUUGAAAAAUACUGAUAAAAAGUAGCUGUACUUGUAAUUUGUUAGCUAGCGUUAAAAGACUUGAGAAUUAUAAUUGAUAAAUCGACAAUUUCUUUUGUAAAUUAAGACGCUAGCUUUAGGGGCUAAUUAAUUUCGAGUUGGAACAUUAGGUUAGUGAUAAUAAGAGCAACUUAAAUUUAACAACUUAUCAAAUGCAUUUUAUUGCAGGAAUUUGAGGAAGCAAAUAUGUCUCAUUUUAAAUGUGAAUUGAGAACUAAAAUUCCUUGUAUGGGGUAAAAAUUUCCUCCAUAGUACAAGCAUUAUAUAUAGUGGCAUUCAUGAUAACAAUUGACAAGCAAUUCAUGAUCGACCUCUUUAUUUUAUUUUGAACCUUUCCAUUUCUCUAGUCUCACUUUGAAUAUUGGCACCAAAUGUCAAUUUGCACAUUAAUAGAUGCAAGACCAAUAGCUAAAACAAGCAAGUCAUCAUUUUUAUCAUGCCUAUCUGCAGAAUUUCAGAAAAAAAGAAAGUGAACAAAAAAAGAGAUACUUUACGACAAAUUGUUCUAAAAUAGAUAUAGUGGCCAGCCUGGAUUGUCAAACAUAAAAUGAUUAUGAGGUUUUGCUAUGACAAUUUUUUGUUCGACUGUUAGGAGGCAAACGAAACAUCUUUGAAGCUUUUGUAUCGAUAGUCAAACAUCAAAAUGCGUGUCUUGAACAUCAAAUAUAUAUAUAUAUAUGUUUUUAUCAUUUGAUCAUCGGUAUAUAUUUUCCACUUUAAUUUAUAACGCUUAAGAUCAAAUUGUUCGAGUUAAUGUAAAUAAAUGCUAACAAGUAUUUUCCUAUUGCUGAUAAUUAAACAGUAAACAUGCAGUAAACACACUUCAAUCAAUCCACUCUAAACUAGCAGGAUACUUGGAGUCUUGGAUACGUGCAUUUAUUUGAAUGCUGAAAGUUUAACUUCGCAUCAGAUUUAAAAUGUCGCAAUCUAAUCUUAUGACACGUAUUGUUUGCUUUAGCCUAAUAGACAGACCUCUUGGCUCUUGGAUUUGCAUUUCAUAAUAUAUAUAUCAUCCAAUGCAAAAACGUGCAUUUCAUGUAAACUUAUGUUAUGACUUCUUAAACUCUUUCAUUUUUCAUUAUCAUUUCAAUGUACUAUUCGCCAAAAGUGUAAUAUGCAACCAUUUUUUCAGAAAUUUGUCGGCCUAUAUACAAAAGUAAAUCAAUCUUUCUCUUUUUCCUGCCCAUAUCAAUCUUUCUCUUAGUCAGCUCAUAUGGUUGUCACACUAAAGUUGUCAAAAAAACGCUGAAUCACAAUCUUAGAAGAUCUUGUUAAAACCCUUUUAAUUUAUUCUUAAUUCUUUGUUUGUUUCUUUGGCAUGCAGCAUAUAUAAUAAAACAUAGUAUUGUUUGCUUAAGCAAGAAAAAUAUACAAAAGGUAGGAAUUAAGCAAUUUGUAAGAAGGCAUUUGUGCUUUAGCGGCCGAAAGCGCUUAACGGAUCAGAGCUUUUGACUGGUCGAAUAUUUCCCUUUUUAACUUCAAACAUUCUUUUCACUUUGGUUUUUUUUUAAGGCACAUCCCAUUUCUUUAAAGCAAAAGUAUAUAUGAAAACAUGACUUUUAGAUAUAUGGCCUUCCGCGUUUGGUCAACUUUGGUAAUUACGACAUAUUUAGGUUAUUAUUUUUCUCCAAAACUCUAUUUAAUUAAGUGCGUUUUUAGUUAUUAAUUCAGUUAGCGUAUUGUAUUUGAAUAUUCAAAGCUUUCCAUCAAGUUGUACUUCUUUUGCUGGUCAUCUCAUAAUCAUUAGAAUAAUGAUUUAUAAUUUCUUAAUUAAGUUAAUUAAACACAUUACUUAGUCCGCUUUAUGUUAAAGCAGCUAGCCUUUGCGGUUGGAGAAGACCGUGGAGUGGAGUGGAUUGAGUUGAAUUGAAUUAAAAUAAGGCACCACUGGUAUAUUUUCUUGUAUCCAUCACCACCUUUACAAAUACCUCUUCAAUGCACGUAACCUUUGUUGUUUUAUUGGGUUAGUGGCGGGCCAAGAUUUUCAUUAACGAUGUUCUAAAUAUAAAAAAAGUAAAUAAACAAAGAAGCCAAAGAGGCCGAGGUUCAAUAUCUACUAUAUAUAUAUUUAUUUUAUUUUCAUGUAAAAAUAAUAUAAUUUUCCGUAAGGAGCGACUUCUCUCUUUAUCAGAAUAAACAGAAAUGCUGAAAUUAAAAAUUAUGUCCAACUUCCAUGCACCACCACAUGCAACUUUAUUUUUUAAAAAAGGAGUUAUAACUAUAUGGUAAUUUUAUCUGAUGAUUAUUUUGUUUUAAAAACAUCUUAAUAUAAUGGUAUGCAAGCCUAACAAUGAUCGUUUUCAUUUUUUAAUAUAAGUAAAAUAUCAUAUGGGACCAUGAUAAUCAAGAGACAGAUAAGAAAAUUGGCCUAUAUAUAUCACAAUAAAUAUGUAAGAACUAUUCAUUCAUCAUUAAGUAUGUGAAACAAAAAUGUCAACUUUUACUAGAUAUUCUUCAAUUUGAACGGCGAUUCUGCAACGUAACCUACUCUAUAGCAUUUUCAGAGCUCUCUAGCCACAACAAGUUCAUGAAAUAAAUUCCCAUGCCAGGUCCCCAUAUUUCACUGUCCUCCAGAUAUCCCCAUAACACUACGUACAACACACGGCACCACAAAUUAAAUAAUCAUAACAAGAAGACUACACAAAAAAAAUUAAAUUCCCAACCACCUAAAAAAAGAACAAGUAAUAAAAAGAAGAUGGUUGAUCAUGAAGAAAACCAAUAAAAGAACAUUCUUGGCUGUUCUAGAUAAAUGAAUGUCUAUCAUAUAUGCAUUAAAAUAUAGAAACCUUGAUUAUAUCAUACGUACGUUGCUUCACAGAAGUGUACGUCUAUAUCGAAUAUUAAUACUCAAACUUGCAUCUCACUCUUGGAAUUUUGAUUUCUACUAAUAAAUUUGUUUGGAAUUAUUCUUGGAUUAUUCUGUUCCUACAAAUUAUAGUAGGGGAGAAAGGAGCAUCUCGUGCUCACAUACGUUCUUGGGAAAAGCAUGUUGCAAUCUAUCAUGACACAAAUAUUAGGGACUAAUUUCACAGAGAUAAUUUAUCGUUAUUUUGAGACUCCUUCAACCUAGGCCACAAGAAGGGGUCAUAAUUAUGGAUGAGGAGAGGUCACAAAAUUGAGUGAGAGAAACAAAUUCAAAUGUCAACCUCCGAGUUAAUGGUGUUCAUUCAGAUUUUCCUAUUCCCUUUAACAACUCGAAAAUAAAAACAAUAAUUCACGUUUAACGGACCCCAGAAGGCGUUCCCAAAACUUAAAACUCUUAGCAAUACAAUGCCAUUUUCAAUUAUCAUUAAAUAUAAAUACUGCUACUUUCAAUCGGAAUACGACUAUAUAUUAAACAAAUAGGUAUUACUCCGUAUCUAUUUAUCUACCAGUAAAUUAAUUUUACCUUUGAAGAUGUAUAUGUCUUUCUCUGGUCAUUUUUUAAUUCAACUUUGGUAUUUUACAUACAUUGUAGUCCACUUAAAGAUAAAAUAUCGUCAUUUCCCUGACAUCCAUGUAUGUUAAAAGUCUCCCUUUUCACUCAUUCAAGUUCACACUAGAAGUUUGUGAUUGUCAUUCUCUCAAUUUCAUUAUAAAUUGAUGCCACCACACAACACCGAGUUUAUUGAACUAUAGACAAGAUAUAUAUUCCUCUUCAUCUCUUCCUGCAUAGUACUAAAAAAUUAAGCAUCUAGCUAAAGCUAAAUAAUAAGUCAUGUCUAAAGCAUCUGCUAGCUUUUUCUUCAUCAUCCUUCUCCUCUGUUUUGCCCUGUCCUAUGCUGCUCGCCCUCAGCCACUAUUUCACGAGGCUACUCUCAACAAUAUUCAACACCAGGUACGUAAUCUGAUUGUUGAAUUGUGUAAUUAUCUCAUCUAAAAUACUUAGUUACGUUGUUAAAUAUAUAACGUUAUUAUUAUUCACAAAUAAUUUAGUCUCGUAUUAGUAUAAAAUAAUUUGAAUUAUUUCAGGAUGUUGUUGAACCAAAGGAAGUUGGUAAGGAAGAGAGUUGCAAAGGAGUCAAGGAAGAAGAAUGUUUAGAAAGGAGGACUUUGGCUGCUCAUCUUGACUAUAUCUAUACCCAAAAUCAGAACCCUUGAAGAAAGUACUAUUCCCAAUGACGAAAAUGAUCAGUUAAUUUGUUUUACGAUGGUUAAUUGACCUAAGUUUUCGGUUAAUUUAUGUUUCACUAAAGUAGUGAUAGAACGAGUGAGUUAUCACAUAUACUAGUAUAUAGUAUUGCUUUUGGUGUGUUUCAUGUUGAUUUUUCCUGUACGCUAAUAAAUCCAAUAUCACGAUUACUUGAUUUUCUUGUAUGCAAGUUGAUCCAUUAGUAGAGCAAGUUCUUUUUUUUUUUUUUUUUACCAAAAAACCAUUCACACAGAAGUGUUCACCUCCUGUGUGAUGGGGGGUUUGGCAAGACCCCUUGUAGAGCAAGUUCACUAUAUAGUUUUUUUUACUUCUUACAAAAACAAUCGCAAUACUGAAAAAAUCUAUCUUUAAUGAAAGAAGUAUGUAUCAAGAUAAAUAAUGUUUUUAUUUAAAAUUUAUCAUAUAUCGAACUAAUCAAACUUAUUGCAAUACUCCACGUCAACGUUAGCGCAGCAUUUCGACCACGGAGACAAGAGAAGACCGGUUGUUAGUUGUUGAAUUAAUAAAAGGAGAGCGUUGGACUUGUAUGUACUAUGCUUAUUUUUGGCUAAAUCCUAAUAUGGAGUAGUGAUUAAUAUAUUAUCAUGAAUUCAAGUAAGUACCAAUAAGAAUGACGACUUAAAAGUUGACAUAUAUUUGGUUUUAUCCAGAGAUAUUUUUCAUCUUCUGCUGGUAAUAUAAUAUAGUACAAGAUAUCAAAUUUAUCCGUGCACCAUAAGUCCAUAGCUGUACUAGGUGACUGAACCCUAAUUUUCUAGAAGAUUUAAAAUAUGAAGAAGUAAACAUAUGAAGAAGAAGUUAAGGUGGUUCAACAUCUACUAAAUAUAUAUUCAAAAAUAAUUUUAACCAUGUAUAAAAAAUGUAAUUUCCACCAAAGGAGGUUUGGAUGAACCCCUUGAUCCUACCUGACUCCGUCCUGUAGUUUUGGACUAAUAUUUUCAAUUGGGGACGUUCCUCGUCCAUAUUCAUGAUCAUGUUGUGAUUACAAAGUGGCACUAUAUCAAGACAAAUAUGUUAUCGUUAAGAAGAGAAAUAAAAAAAUGUCAAGCUGCUGUACUAAAUGUGCUUCGACCAAGACGACUAUUCUAUUUCUGUCAACUACAUAUUUAGAGUUUUCCAAAGAGCUGUAGUAGCAAAUUAGAGAUGCAUGCAUAUUGUCCCCAUAUUUCUUUUUCCUCCAGAAUAUCCACAAGACUAUACAAGUAUAAAACCAAAAUAAUAAUAAUACUAUAACAAGAAGACUAGGAUUAAAUUUUAAUUUCUAUUUUAUUCUAGAAUGUGUGGACUAUUACACGUGUUUUUACUCGUGUGGAAAAAUGCUUAGCUUGGGCCAGGUAGAAAAAUAAAACGCCCUGGUAUCAUGAAAAUCUCUUUGACCAAUGCGUAAAUCGAAUACUCAAACUUGCAUCUCAUUCUCAGAAUUUUGAUUAUUCAUUAUCUGUUUGAGAAUAAUACCGCUGAACUACUGUUCUAUUGUUCUUUCCAAUUCCUUCAUGCUGUGCAAGCUGGGGAAAGGCCUUUUCCCGAUAGUUAUCCUUGUUCAAGGGGAGUCAAUUGGAGGAAAUGAAACAUUUUGGCCACUUAUGAAUCGAGUAGAAGAAAAUGACCCUUUUCAGAUCUCUUAUGUGUAAAAAUAAAAAUGAUAAGUGGCUUACAAAAUUAAUUCUCCCUUUAAUUACGCUCAUCACAAAAGAAGUUGCACCCCAAUUUUAGCUAAAUAUAUUGGGUCAGCAAAGCAUAAAUGCCUUUCUAAUUGAAAAAAGAUGAAUACUAGUUGCAACAGUUAGGAAACGUAACAACCAUUUAUCAAUGGCGUUAUUUACGUAGCUAUGAGCUUUCCUUUUAUUAAUUAAUUCUCGUGGUCACCGUUAAUUUAAUACUCCAAAGAUUCCUUCUUCUUCUACCCUUUAUUGUUAAAAUAAAAGACUUUAGUUUAACAUACUUAUAUCCUGGUCCAAAUUGAGAAAACAAUUAAUUUCUUGAUUCUCCAUUACCCAAAUAUCUUUAAAGUCUCCCAUUUAACUCAUCCUAGUUCACACUCAAUCGUUGAGAUUGGCCCUCCAUUUUGUAGUAUAAAUACAUGCCACCACAUAACCACAUGCUUCAUAUAGAGCUAGAGUUACAUUGCAAUAAUACUCAAACCAAGUAUCAAAUUAACAACCAAUUGAGCAUGUCUAAAGCCAAUACCAGUUUUUUCUUCAUUAUCCUUCUCCUCUGUUUUGCCCUGUCCUAUGCUUCUCGCCCUGAGCCAGUUUUUCACGAGGCCACCCUCAACCUCAACAACAUUGAUCACCACCAGGUAACCAAAAUUCAAUAUGUCGUGAAAUUUUCACUUUCUUUUCGAUAAAUUUUAUGAUUAAACAUUAGACGAUGAUCUAAAAUUUUGUUAUAAUUAUUACGUUUCAGGAUCAUGUUAUGGAAUCAAAACAAGUUGCAAAUGAAGAGAGCUGCAACGGAGGGCAGGAUGAAGAAUGUUUAGAAAGAAGGAAUUUGGCUGCUCACCUUGACUAUAUCUAUACCCAAAAUCAGAACCCGUGAACUAGUUUGCCAUUUGGUACAUUGAAAGUAGACGAGACAGUUAUAUAUAUCACACAUUAAAAUUACCUUACUGUACAUCUGUCCGGUUGAUUUUUCCUGUACCAUAAAAUGAAUUAAUCGCAUACAAAUUUUCUUCUUCCAUCCUAGAUUCUGUUUUGCUUUCUAUAUAAGUAUUUUUACAAUUUGUGAUUUUAAACAUAUUUGUGACAUUUAUAAGAGAAUCUUAUCAAGAGUAUAAAAUUAAGGAGUUUUUCAAUAUACAAAAAAUAGUACUCCGUCAUUUUUUCCCCAUAAUAUCCUAUAAAAUGAGAAAACCGAGGGACAAAUUGAUACCUCAAAUUUAAAAAAUUAAAAUAACUGCUAGAAUUUUUAAAAAUGCUUUGCUACAUGGAGAACAAUAUAGAAACCUAGUAGUAGUAGCUUAACAUGAAAAUAGUUGAGAUAUUUCUAUCAUGAAGAUCUUGUAUUUAAGUUUUAAAAAUGAAAAAAGAAUCAUACUGGAAAUAAAUUAGUUGAGUUUUAAUAUAACAGGUUUUUUUUUUUAAAAUUACGUUCAAAGUAAUUUAAUCGAAUUCUAAUAUGACAGGCGAGAGGAAAAUUGAAACCAAGAAAAAAACAUGUAAAAAACGGCAGAGUAUAAAAUGUUAUUCAACUAGCAGAUCUGAUGACAACGAUUUAACAGCACAAGGUUGGCUAUGUAAUUGCUGAAAGGAGCCGUGUUAAAUUGUAAUACAUCUAUCUGAUCAAUAAAAUACGGGAAAAUUAUAUGAAAUAACAAAUUAUUAAUUUAAAUUAAAUAUUUUAGUUAUAGUUUAUUUUAAUUGUAAUUCGCAGCAAAUAUUUUUUUUUUUUGCCAUCUGAUUCGGUAUACAAUUAGUCAUUUUAUACAUUUCUGUAUUGUGUUUGUAUAAAACGAGAGAAAAGUGUAUAUACAAAUACAAAUACAUAUAUUUCCGUCAUAUACACUUAUAAUUAUAUAAAUACAGAUCUUAUUAUACAAAUUACAAUGUAUAAAUGAAUUUAUACAAAACUGAACAAUUUGUAUAAAAUUGAAUGUUUGUAGCGAAUUAUACAAAUCAAAAGCUCCGCAAUACAAACUAUAGUUAUAACAUACAAAUAUGAUUUUUAUGCUUGUUAUAUGUGAAAGUUGCUCAUAAAAUAUUCCCUUCGUUUUAAAAGAAUGACCUAGUUUUCCUUUUUAAUCUGUUUUAAAAAAACUAACCCCUUUAUUUAUAUAAUAUUUUAACAUCAACUUUCCACGUGACAUGUUUAAGGCCAUAAGAUUAAAGAAAAUUUGGUAGAUUUGACACAACUUUAAUUUAGAAUCACAAGAUAAAAAAAAUUUCUUUCUUUUUUUUAAAUUCUAUUAUAAGUCAAACUAGGUCAUUCUUUCUAAAACGGAGGAAAUAACCUUUUCUUGCCACAUCUUAAAGAUAAUAGUAAGAUUACCAUCUUUGACAAUUGUCAGUCAGUUGAAUCGGUUGUAUCUCAAGGUGGAUGUAUUUCUAGUACACCACCAUUAGAUUUUAUUUUUAUUUUCAGUAGGACAAAGGUUAAACUGAUUCUUGACUAUAGAAUGCUAAAUUCAUAUAUAUAUAUAUAUAUAUCAUUAUUAUUAGUCAUAAGAUAACCAAUACAUAGGGGUGUUCACGGGUCGGUUUGCAUCAGUUAUUGGUUAAAACCAAAAUCAAAUCAACUUAAUCGGUUUUAAAAUUAUCAAAAUCAAACCAAACCAAAUAUAAUAUACAUUUAUCGGUUUUGGUUUGGUUCGGUUAUUCAGUUGUAAACCAUACACAAAAAUAAAAGAAACAAUUCAUUCAAAAUGUGAAAAAAGUGACAACAAUCCAUUCAAAACAAAAAAUAGUUAGAAUGACUUAAAUUACCGAACUUUCAAUCAUUGCAUUGACUACCAAUAAAGCUUUAAAAUUCACUAUAUUGGCCUAGAAGGAAGAGACAAUAACAUUUUCAGUCCCACAAAGAAUUGUCAGACACUCAUAUACAUGAAAUCAAUAAGAUAAAUGUUUUCACCUUAGGCAUUCUUGCUUUCAAUAAGUAAAGUAUAAAGAAAUUUUAAUGAAAACAUAUAUAAGAUCUUUAAAAUUAGUUUAUAAAAACAAUAUAUUAAGUAUGUACAUUAAUAAAAUAUAUGUAUAUAAUUCAUCGGUUCGAUUUGGUUAUUUCUUCGAGUUUUUUUCGAAUAAAACCAUAACCAAACCAAAUACUACCGGUUUUCAAAAUCUAAAACCAAACCAAACCAAACCCAAAUAAAAUUGGUUUUAUUUUACCGAUUUGAUUUGAUUUUUCGAUUUUGAUCAGUUUUUAUCCAACCCGUGAACACCCCUACCAGUACAUAUGUUAUUAUUAAUCAUUGUACAUAAUUCGUUGCAUCUUGGAGGAACUCUAAUAUGCAUGUACCAAUUCAUAGGUUUACAAUCGACCAACAUAGACACUUCCCCAUAAUUCCAUUGCAGUACCAUCACCUAACAAAUUGGAUGACAAAGGGCCUGUUUGGAUGGGUUUAUAAAAAUAACGUAUAAGUUAAAGCUAAAUGUCAUAAGUAGAGAGUACCCUAUUUUUGGCUUUUGAUUUAUUUUAAAUCUAUUUUGAUCUAAAUGUGAGUACUUAAAAACAAUUUUUAAUAUUUUCAAACACCUCCAUGUUUAUAGUUUUGAGUUUAUGUCUUUUGCCGUUGUACAAAUAUGUUAACGUAAAAGCUAAUUGUAGUUAAAUGUAUAACCAAUCAUGAGUUGGUAACUUCAGAAGUAUAGUGAAUAACCUAAUGGAAUAGAUCAAAUUACAUUAAGUGUGUAAAAAUGGUUUCAUGCCAUUAAUCAUAUUCAAUACAAAGAAAUUAAGAUAACUUAAUGAAACUUAUAUAGGAGUAUACUAAAUUGAAUGGUAGUUGAAGGUAAUUUCCAAAAGUAGAAGGGGAGUUGUGUAAUUUUCUUAAGGAAUAGGAGACGUGAAUGUGAUUGAUCAAAACAUUAGCUCCACAGCCGAUGCCCGGAAGCUCCGAUCUCUUUGCUUCUCAAGACGGGAACCACUGAACUGAGAGAAGAUUAGAAGAAGAUAUAGGGAAGAUGUUCAGGAGAAGAUUUUUGUCGUUUCCGCUGGUAAUUGGCGCAGUUAUGUAAGUUCCUUAUUACCAUUCCUCCAUACUAGUGUUGCUCAAGAUUAACAUAUGAUAUGCUUCAGUUUGGAUUCAUUACUGACCUAUCGCAGUCCCCAAACAGCAAAGAGGAAAACCAGAAAAGAACCCAUUAUACUGCGUAAUCUAGGUUUUUAAAAAAUUAAUCAUGAAUUGGAGCAAAGGUGUUUGAAGGAAUGCCUAAAUGAACCACCCUCUUCCCCUCUCCUAAGUCAUCAAUUGAAGAGGAAUUGAUCAAAGUAAUGUAGUAAUAAUGUUUUCAUUUAGCGCGAGAUAGAGUAGAAGUUCCCGUUAACCUAAUGAUUAAGAGAAUGAAAUUUCUUUGGUUAGUCCUUCAAUUGUUUGUGUUCUGUUAUUAUGGUAUAGGUUCAAGUCUCAAAAAUUGUAGACACCAUCCUUGACUUGUCCUAAAUCUAGGUUGCUGUUUGUUUUCUCUUGAUUUCUGUGGUUCCUAUUGUUCUCCAACAAUGAAGUCUCUGUUUAAGCUUGUUUCACCUGCCUAGACAAAAUUUUGGACUUCCUGAAGAUACUACAAUUUGAUAGGCAAAUCUACCCUGUACAGCAACUAAAACUGAGCCUAAAACCUCAGUGAAAUAUCUAAGCACUUUUGGGGAUCAAUAUUGAUCUGACUACCAAUUUUUUCCUCAGGAAAGUAAGGAGUAUGAGACAAUCCAUUAGAUCUAGCUCCUCCUUCCAUACAUGCAGAUGGCCACAACCAGUGGAUCAAUGGAUUUCCUUUGACCAUGGGCUGAAAGUGAGUGGGAGAACAUCCUCGAUCUCAAGCUCCCCAGCAACAAAAUAGAGAGAUAAAAAGAAAAAGUUAAAAAAAGGACCUAUUUUCCUUCUCUCAUUUACCCUUUUGUCUUCUUAGCUUCUGCUAUAUGUACCUUUGGACAUGUUUCUGCUGCUAUGGUUAUCAGACAAUGCAAUGAUGCACCUUUUGUUAUAUUUGGUGUAUGGUUGCGAAGUAUGCAUUUUUUGUGCCAUCCCUGGUGCAUUUACUUCUGUGCAUUUUGACAUAUUGACAAGCUAGAGAUUGAGAAGGGGUUUAUCAAAGAAAAAAUUAGAAGAAUCAUUAAUAGGCGCUGCCUGUGCUCUUCACAGUUCACAGGUUGGAGCUGCCACAUCCUUAGUACUGCUCUUUUCUGUUGAACUAUCAAUGAACAUUACUCUAAGAAAGCCAAGCUGCUAGAAUGCUCAACCUGAAUAGAGAUCCUUUAAUUUGUCAAACACCGUGUUUCAUUUUCCUCUUUUUCUUUGCCAACAUUUUGAUUGUGAGUUGCCUUGUUAAAGAGAAGGCUGUCUUAUGUUUCUUAAGAGCUAUUGCUGCCUCUUUUAGCCCUUCAAGAUACUUAAGAGUGCAUUUGUAGUACUCUCUUGUAGCACUAACAAAUAACUGCUGCAUAUGCCCUUUCUAUUCCUCUUCUUCCUGUUAAGUAAUUGCUUUACUGGUACUUCUUAUCAUUCUGAUCUCUUGAAAAUAUUGCUAGCCUGCCUUUUCUUCAAUCAUUACCUUUGAUAAACUUGGCACCUUUCUUCAGCUUGGUGUUUGUGAGGCAUGAUUAACUUAAUUAAUUAAAAAUUACUAUGCAAAUGAACAGAAUGUGUAUGCGCUGAAUUUGUUGGAACCUAAGUUAAAUCUCUAGAGUAUAUAGUUCAUAGUAGAAGUAACAAUUAUGGGAGAUUAGAUAUAUUGUAUUUUUCCAGUAUACCAGCUUCAUGUCUUUCUUGACCAGAGCAGUUGCUGACAUGGCGUUCACAUCUGCAUGUUUAUUCUCUACAGUUCAGAAGUUACGACUUACAUCAUUCUAGACCUCGGUCAAUAAUUAAUACGUAUACUAGCAUUGUGUUUUUAUUUCCAUUUGCUUGAUCUUUUACUUGGCCAAUCUGUAGAAUUGGAGUUGUAUCUGGGAAAGCUAUAUUUGCACAACCACUUGAUGAAUAUUGGAAGAAGAAACUUCAGGAGAAACCAGCCGCAAAAGAAAAUGAUUUAAGCACCUCAUAGAACGAUCAGAUGCAUAUAUGUGCCUAAUAUCAUGCUAGUGUUUUUCUGUUGGCACUCUUUAGAAAUGCUUUCUGCAGACGCAUCCUCAUCCAAAUAGUUUACGCCAUGAUUAUUUGGAAAUUUCAUCCUUCAGUUGUUUGUAUGAGAUUUCCCAUCAAAAUUAUCUGGGUUUUUUCUUGUUGAAAAUAGACACGCAAAAGCAACCACUGUGGCAUUGUGGUUCAGGAGAAAUAUUAUAUGUCAAUUGGAAUAAAAUUGUGCCCAUGUUACUUUACGUCUCUUAUUUUUUCUUUUCCCUUCCUCUGCUUACUGCAUCUUACUUGGAACCAAGAAAGUCAUCCUCUUUGAAGUACUUGGAUUAAGAAUUUGUGAUCAAAAUUAAUCAUUUAGAAAGCAUGGUCGUUACUGAAUGUAGUAUCAUGAAACAUAAUUUGUUCCUCUUUAAUUUGGAAGGAUCUCUACUUGGCACAAGUAUGCGUCCGUUUCUUGGUUCUGUUAUCCAAUGGCUUGGCGGAUGCAGAUGGAAUAAAUUUUUUAGAACAUUAGCGCUGAGCGCCUGAAUUGACAAUUACGAACUUAUGCUGAAAUGCGUGUCAAAAUCACAUUUUUUCUAGGAAGGCCACCAAUACGUAGAGUUUGCUUCAAACGUAUCUCAUUCAUCAAUAUUUUGAUUCGAGGCCGUUUGAGGUAGAUCAACAUUUUUGCAGCCUACUUAGUUGCUUUUGGUGCAACCAUGAAGCUGUGGGUCUAAAAUGGCGGGAUUAUCAUCUAUUUGAGUGGUUCCUAUUCGCUAAAUGUGUUCUUUUAAAAGAAAUUCAGCACCUCGUAAGACUGAUUUUGCCAAUUAUCUUGUUGACAAUGGAACAUGCCAUUAUCAGAAGCUAUUCUGGUAUUCCUUUUUACUAGUAUAUAAAUUCUUAUCACUGGCUCCUACAACAAAUGCCCUUACUAUACACCUGACUCGAGUACAAGAACUUCAACUGUUGAUCAUUGAUUACAUAGCUUUUAAUAUUUUCUUUAUUUACUAGAACUAUGAUCACCUCAACUGAAUGAAGAAAAGCAAAAGAACCGUUGCCAGGAGACAGAAAAAUUACAGGCAUAAUUACAUUCACUUUGACAAACUUGAAUUGAAAUACAAACAAUCAACAAGAACAGACAAAUCAUAUACAGUUGUGUACUAUCCAAGAUUCCCUUGGGAAAAGAAUGUACUAAUACUCUAGGAAGCUUAACAAAUAAAAAGUUAUCUUCCCCAGAUUCUAUUCGAAACUUCCUAAUUUGGAACCAAGAUCCAAGGACCAUUAAGUAUGUGCAAACACAAAGCGAGGCAUACACUAACAGCAAUAGAAGAUUUCCCACUCACAUACCUGCAAGCUUCACUACUCCUAUCAACCACUUCCUCUUGUAUAACAUCUACACUUCUUCUCAGAGUCACAACUUCCUCCUGGACAACAUCUAUGCUUUUUCGCACACACUCAUACAACUUUUCCAGAAGAAACUCCAAGAAAGAUCUAACACUCUCAAAGGUGACCCUCCCAGUCAAAUCAAGAAUAAACCUUCUAUUUCUUGGCACUGCCAAAGUAGAAGAUACUUUAUUUGUCCACCCAGUGUACAUGUUCUCAUCUUCGUCCCAAAAUUUCUUGGCUUUGAAACUAAGUGGCAUAGACGAAUAUAUUUCCGAAGUUGUAUCCAUAUCACCAUUUGUCAAAACUUGAUGAGAAGUUUUGACAAAAGUUCCAAUGGCACCACUACAUAUGGCUACUAACAUAUCUCUCAUUUUGGUUUCAUGCUUGGGAUUUGUUAACCCAGAAAAGAUUUCAUUGUAGGUGUUGAUGUUCAUUGUUCUAUCAAGAUACACAGCAACUGCAGUACUCACAAACAAUUGUAUACAAUUUCCUAUAAGUUCUCUGCACUUGUCCUGGCAUAGAACAUCAGCCCAUCCUGGAACAGAGUGUUCAAUAUCAGAAUCAGUAGCAUUGCCUUUUUUGUCCGAACAAUAAGCAAGAACCAAAUUCCUCGCGAAGCUCCCAACAAUUACAGAAGCAAAACCAGACCCUGCAUCAGUAAACAGUUUAUCUAAAACCUGGUCAAAAAGCCCAGAAUUUGCAGCCCCAGAAACACCAUUUUCCGCAGUUUCUUGCUGGUAGCCUCGCACAACUCCUACGGUCAACGCACUAGUGACCUUAACAAUAGAUUGUGAAAACUCAUCUGAUUUAGCAAUCUUAGAAAUCUGUUUCAAACUUCUAGGAAUAUGAUCAGAGUCAGAGGAAAUGAAUUCCUUCAGAUCUUUCGAAACAAUCCCAAUUACAUCAGCAGAAUCAGCCACCAUCUCAGCUAAAGAAACAAAAGCACUUAUGAGCUUCAAAAAUCUUUUCCUCUUUCUAACCAUAGAGGGUGAGUAAUAAGCCCUAUAAGCGCCAUAACCAGUAACACCUAGAGCUCCUAAAGCAACAACCCAGUUCCUAUUUCUCCUAGUAUAACCCAAACCCUUCCUUAAUAGCUUUAAAUCCGCAUAAUUCAAAGCCAUAAAUCUCCAAAAAUCUGGGAUUCUGGACUUCAAUUCUCAAAAGGGGUUUUAGAAAAUAUUAAAUACAUCCAAAAUUCAGGCAAUUUGCUUAUAGAGUUAAGGUGGAAAGAUGUAUACCAACUUGAAAAUGCUCAAGGCUGACGUAGAAUCAGUUUUUGACCAUCUAGAUUCUGGUGCAGUUGGGCAUCAGCAACAGAGAAAAAAGGAGAAGAAAAAAUGGGGAAACAAAAAAAGAAGAAGCUGAUCCAUUAUAGAAAUACUGUAUAAAUUAUGAAAUAUUAAACUGAUAAGCACGACUUAAAAUAGGACAGCUAUAACUAGGCCUACUCAGUUUCAGCUUUCACGCUAGGUCGUUGUUGUCUGCAUUUAUUUAUUGUUAGUAUUUCAUUAGAUAUUUUUUAUUUUAUAUUAUAUAAUAUGAUUGAAUGAUAAUUGUGUGGGGCUAAAUGGAUAUGGAUACAACUUAUAAGGAGAAUUCUGGAAAUUAAACAGUUAGGUAUUCUGUUAAAUGCAAGGAAAAUGGUAUUGGGAAGGAUAUAGAUGAUGGAAGUUUAUGGACCCACAGUUAUCUUUAGAGAUGAUCCACAGUCAAAAAGCGGUGUACAUAAUUAGCUACUAACUUUGAUGACCUGGCUUUGUCUUCUCUUGCCAAGUGCUUGCAACCAACUGGCUCCUUGUGGCCGGACUUUCAUUUUCUCGUUUUCCCUUUUCUCUCAUUGUAUCUAUUAUUAUUUCCAUCGUUUCAAUUUGUUAUUUUUGUUACUAAAAACUCCAUAUACUUUUUCUAAAGUAUGAUAGGGGUGUUCAAAGAAACUCCAUAUAUAUUUUGGGUUAUGAAGGGUGAUUAUGGCGUCAUGCGGAAGUUUACAAUUGCAAAUAAUAUGAUUGAUAAAUUAGACGACACAUAAAACUAUACUAAAAGACAUAAUAUUAUUAUAUGAUAUGACCAAUUAGCCUACAUAAUUAAAAACUAAUAAAAAGACAUUAAGCCUGUAGAGAGAAAAUCUCCCAUAAACAAAACUCUUAAUUGUCUACAUUGUGGAUUCUAUUGUGUUAUGCUAUGAAAAUAAGAAUCUUCAAUUUAUAGAUCUUCAAACUUUUCCUCUAAGGAAAGAAUAAACCAAAUAUGGAAGAAAAUUAGAUUUUCCUUUCAGAAAAAGUUUAAGCAUUUAUGGUAAUACUUUGACUUUUCUUUAAGGAAAAAAAAUAAUCUUCAAACAAGGAAAGAAAAUCAGGGCAAAACCCUAACAAUAUCUUCUGCUAUGAAAAUAUAAAUGUAUACCUCAAAAAUAAUAUUACUCUUUGGAACAUAAAUUUAAGAUCAGCAAAAAUGCAAAUGACCUGUAUAAGAUUGUUUGCCUUGCCGAUGCAGGCCUGGGUUACCCAACAGAAAUAUAGAUAAUUAGGACCAAAGAAGUCCAAUUCACAACUAAAGGAAUUGGAUUAUGUUUGGCAAUUGCCUUCAAGAAGUCUGGGAAAAGCCCAACAACAAUCAUACGUAUAGAAGAAGUAUAAAUACUUUUAGGAGUCGUUUGAUAUGCAGACUAAAUUAUCCUGUUAUUAUGGUCCUAGAAUUAUAAUUGAUUGACUAAUUUAUCCCCUUAGGAGAUGGACAAUCAUAUGAUUAAUUAUGAAAUUAAAUUUAUAUUACGUUUAAGAGAUGAUAUCUCAAAUUUAAUUAUGAGAUAUACCAUCUUAUCUGAGAUAUCAAACAACCCCUUAAUUAGAUCAAGUGAAAUGAAUUUUUCUAAAGUUGAAAGAUUCUCUCAUAUAAUAACACGUACUAGCUCCUUCAAAAUGCAUGAAUGAAAAAUAGUAAUUACGCUAAUGUGAUUAUGAUACAAAAGAAAGAUAUCAAUCAAGUAAUCACCCACCAUACAUACACGAUAUACAUAAGACGUAUUCCGUUUUGAUAUAAGAGAUUUAAAGCCAAUAAAAACGACAAGUCUACAACCGAACUUCUUUUCAUUAUAACAGUACGUACCUUGCAACCUAUUUCAGAUUUGAUUCAUGAUGUGAACCCAUACCAUCUCGGAGGAAAGAUGAUUUGUUAGAAAUAGAAUGCUCUGAUUCGGUUUGCUUCCAUAGAGCUCGUCGCAUUAGAUUGUUUAAUGUAAUUUAUAUAUUCUGUGUGAUUUAAAAGUGUAUAAGAGCAAAUUUACACAUUACAUGUUUAAAAAAUAGCAACUACAAAAAAACACACGCUCGGAAUACAUAAUUAAUCUGUAUUAUAUAUUAUUUUUGUUGAGUAAUCGUUGAAUACUCUCAUAAUCAUAUAAAACUUAACUGAAUCCUUUCUCACUACAUGCCAGCUAAAACAUAACGACAAGCCUCUAAAUGAAGAGCAUUUUGAUUAGUAAUUCAAUUAUAGCCAAGGUUUCGUCAUCAGCUGAUCAUUCGAUUUUCAGAUUAGACAAAUGUGAAUGACGGCUUUUCACAAUAAUAAUUCUUUUGUUUAAUCAACUUAUUAAUCAUUGUGUAGUAGUAAUACUAAAAAGUUUUGACAACUUAAUUAGUAGGGGACGUGAUGCAACAAAAGUCCUUGCGUUAUUUUUUUUAGUAAGAGCCGGGAAAAAAGGGUCACAUGACCCAUAACUAUAAAAGAAAAGAAGUUUGCGGCUACAAUUUAUGCUUGGCAGCUACGAAUUGACACCUACGACCUGAGCCGCCGCGGUUAAUCUAUAAGUUUGCCACGCCAUAUUUGACUCUACUCGUGGCGUGUCACAUAUGCAUCCCCAGCUUUACCUUUUUUUUUCUUUUUUUUUCUUUUUUUAUUGUAUUUCCUAAUUCCUUCGCUCUUAUUCUUAUGAAAAUAAAAUAAUGAUAAUAAUAUAUAUGCAUAUCGGUUUCAAUUUGUGAAUUAUUUUAUAAAAAUUUGGAAGAAAAAAUAGAAUUUAAAUUUGUCAUAAUAUUUAUAUAGUAGUAAUAAUUUUUUUGAAAUUUACAAUUUUAAACCUGUCUUAAUAUUUAUAAUGAUAUAAAAACUUUUUACUUCAAAGUUAAUAAUAUUAGAUAGAGGUCAUUCUUUUUACAUACGUAGAGACAUGUGAUAUUAAAUAUAUGAGAUUAUAACAUCUAUAAAACUGUAAAAACUUUUUAUUAAGAAUAAAAUAAAAAAAAUAAAAAUUGCAUAAUUUCAACAAUUAGAAAAGGAAUAUGAUGUUUUUAAAACCGACUAAGAAAAUUAGGUUUACAUCUAUAUAUUAUAUUAAAAGCACGAAGAUCCUUAAUAAUGUUGUUUCAACUUUUUGUCCUUCAUUGAAAGAUCCGCUUCAGACAGAAUCAUCUUUUGAAAUAAAAUACUCGAUCCAAAAAAAAAAUAGUAAAUUUUUUUCAAAAAUAAUAAGCAAAAAAAAAAUUAAAACGUCCAACAAUAAUUGUCAAUAAUUGUGGGAUGAUAACAAAUAAAUUUGGUGAUAGUAGUUGGAGAUGGCUUAUCGUCGUGGCAGUCAUAUACUAUAGUGAUUAAGAAUGAAAUUGUUGUGAUCGUACUUGACAGUAAUAAUGCUAGUGAUUAUGUUAGUUAUUGGUAACAGUAAUGAUAUUGAUGGUGGUACUAGUUUACUAUGAUGAUUGGUGUAAUGGUGAAGAAAAUGUGUUAUUAAUAACGAUAGUGAUAAUUUUGAUAGCAAAGAUGAUUUAUUGUUAUUGUUAAUAGUGAUAAUUAUACAAUGAUUAAAUCGUUGAUGAUAAUUGUGAGCAGAGUACUAAUAAUGAAAAUCAUUUUUUUUUAUCAAAAUCUUCUAAUAAUUUUUAAUAAAAUGUAACAUUAUAUAAAAAUUCUUAACUAAUAUUUAUAAUAUUCAAGUUAUUACAAAAAAAAGAAUUAAAAAUAUUGAAGUUAAUAAUAUUGACGUGACAACACACGUGCAACACACGGACUCUAAACAAGUAUAUUAAAAUUCAUGGGAAUAUUAUAUAAACAAAUUCUUAAAUUAUGAAGUAUAAUCAAUGAUGCGAUUUUGUCAUGGUAGUCGAUGCUAAUAGUUGUUAUGGGAGAGGAGUGUUGACAACAAUAGUUGUUAGUAAUUGUGGGAUGAUGUUAAAUAUAUUUGGUGAUAGUAGUUGGAGAUGAUUUAUCGUCAUGGCGGUUAUACAAGAAUGAUGAUAUAUUGAUAAUGAGAUUGUUGUGAUUGUAACUGACAGUAACAAUGCUAGUGUUUGUGUUAGCUAUUGGUAAUAGUAAUGGUAUUGAUAGCAAUAAUAGUUUGCUAUGAUGAUAACUAUAAUGGUGAAGGAAACGUGUUAUGAUAACAACAAUGAUAAUUUUCAUCGAAGAGAUGAAUUCACAAACUUUAAAUUUAAAUCUAUCAUAAUAUUUAUAUAAUUAUAACUUUCUUUAAAAUUGAUAUUUUAAACACGUUGUUAAAUUUAUAAGGAUAUAAAAACUCUUCACUAAAAAUAAAAUGAAAAGUUAUUUAAAGUUUUUAGAUAGAGGUCAUUCUUAUUACAUAUGUAGAGACAUGUGAUAUUAAAUAUGUUAUUAACAUCUAUAAAAUAGUAAACAAUAAUUAUUAGGAAUAAAAAAAAUUAAAUCGCAUAAUUUCAAUAAUUAGAAAAAGGGAUAUGAUGUUUUUUAAUAGACUAAUUAGAAAAUUAGGUUUACAUAUAUUAAAAUUAAUGGGGUUAUUGUAUCAAAAAAUUCUUAAAUUAUAAAGUAGAAUUAAUGAUGUGAUUUUGUCAUGGUAACUGAUAAUAGUAGUUGUUAUGGAAGGUGGCAACUGCAAUAGUUUUCAGUAAUCAUGUCCUGAUGACAAAUAUAUUUGGUGAAAAUAGCUAGAGAUGGUUUAUCGUCGUGGGCUUGUGGUGAUCAUGUAAUAAUGGUGAUUGAUAAUGAGAUUGUUGUGAUCUUAACGUACGCCAGUAAUGCUAGUAAAUAUGUUGGUUGUUGGUAAUAGUAAUGGUAUUGAUAGCAGUAUUAAUUUACUAUGAUAAUAAGUUAAUAACUAUAACGGUGAAGAAAACGUGUUAUAAUAACGACAAUGAUAAUUUUGAUAGCAAAAAUAAUUUGUUGUUAUUUCUAAUAGUGAUGAUUAUAUAAUGAUGAAAUAGUUGAUGGUAAUCGUGAUCAAAGUACAAAUAAUGAAGAUCAAUUUUUUAUCAAAAUCGUCUAAUAACUUCUUACUAGUAAUACAUAACAUUAUAUCGAAUAUUUUUUUAAAAAAAUAUUCAGAUUCAUUAAGUGAUUAAAACUAAAAAGGAAAACACUUAGGGGUCGUUUGGUAGGCCGCAUUAGAAUAAAGAGAAAAAACAUAAAGUUACCACUGAAGUUGUCCCGAAUUUUCAAAAAGACACCUUAACUUUGCAACUGUCCUAUUACCCCAUUAAACAAUUUUGAACAUAUAUUAUUAUAUCAUUUUUUGAUUAGUCCCAGAUUUUAAGAAACAAGUGUGUUCACACACCAAUCAUUACAUGACAUGUGCUACUUUAAUUAAAAAUGAAAUUUUUUUCAUUUUAAGUUUUUUCUUUUUUCUUUUUUUUUAUUUCUCUCUCUUACUUUUUGACUUAGUUUAAUUUUAUUUUUUUAUAAAAAAGAAUUCGUACUAUUUUCUAGACUUUAUUGAAUUAUUAAUAACAAAACUAAUUAUUUUUCUAAGAAAAUUUAAAAUUUUGAAGGUAUCAUCAAUUACUCCUUUUCAUAUAACUUCAAAAUUAGAAAUUAUAAUUUUAAAAGAAUCAAUGAAUUCCCCGAAAAUUGAAAGAAGUUAAUUGAAAUCGGAUAAAAAAAAAACUAUAUGAUACUUCUAAUCAUUUUGAAAUCUAAUGUGUUUAUCAAAUUGUUUGAAACGUAAGAAAAUAUUUAGAUAAAGUUUUAAAAAUAAAGAGAGUAAAACUAAUAGUAGUAAAAAAAAAUGAAGGUGAAAUUGUGGUAAAAAUGGUGGCAUUGAAAGUGAGAAGUUUCAAUGGAGAUGGCAAUGAAUUUUUGAAAAAGAAAGAAACAGAAAAAAUAAAAAGGAAAAAAAGUUAAAAUAAUAAAUAAGAAAUAUACUUUAUAAUAAAAUACUUGGAAAAAUAAAAUUAUAUUAGUUAUUUAGAUAGCUCACUCUCUUUGAGAGAGUGCACACACUCUCGAUGUCAUGUGGACAAAAAAUGAUAUAAUAAUAUCAGUUAAAGAUUGUUUAGUGGGGUAAUAGGACGCCAGAAUAGUUAAGGUGUCUUUUUGAAAAUUCGGAAUAAGUUCAGAUGUCACUUUAUGUCUUUUCUCUAGAAUAAAUAAUCCAUGUAUUAUGUAUGGUAUUAUUUAGUAUUAUGUUUGGUAGGAAUUUGGACCUAUGUAUAACUAAUUCAUGGAUUAGUUAUACAUCCUACGUGGUAUUAUAGGAUGUAUUACUAAUACCUUCCAUUUGGAGGUAUUAGUAAUACAUAGGAAUAUAUGAUAUAAUACCAUGUGAUAAGUCUAUGUAAAGACAAUAAUAUCCCUCAAAUUAUUUUAAUUAUUUUGCUUAUUUUCUUGAUUUUAUGUUUUAUAUUUGUACUAGUAAAUUUAUUUAAAUAAAUUAGCUUACAAAUUAUUUAGAGAGAGUUGUUUGUUACUCCUAAAUAAAUCCAAUACAAAUUUAAAAUGAGAGUUAUUUAACAUUUACUAAUUAAAAAGACAAAUUUAUCACUACAUGACGUUUGUGAUCUUAAUUGAAUAUAUAUAUAUAUAUACUAGCAAGUAGCAUAUGAUCUGAUAAUGUUUGAUUUUGCAAAAGCAGAAUUUGCGCCAACUCGAGUAGCCAUAGAUUUCCACAAACUCUACAUUAAAGUUAAACAAAAAAUUUCCACCGACUAUUUUAACACUCACAUUUGAACAAUAAAAAUGUAACUCCAUAUACUAAUAAAUUUAAAUUUACUUACCGAAGACCUGAAUGCCAUCAAAGCAAAAUAUGAGUAGUCUUAACAAGGCUAAUUUAAGUGUUGUUGAGAUAUAUGGCUCUUUCAUUAUAUAUAUAAUACAACUUUCUAAUUAAAAUUACAACUUGUAAAUUUUAUUUGUAAAUAUAGAUGGUUUAUACAAUUUUGUCAUUGUUGACCGUCUUUUCGAUUUUAAAAGUAGAUGAUUUGUUUUUUUUUUUAAAUUGAAAAUUGACAUUUUGUGAGUGAUUAAUUUAUUAAGAUGACAAUUAUUUAUCCUCAAAUAAUUCAAGUGAAAAAAAUACAAACAUGACAACAAAACUGUUCUUCUCAUAGCUAGUUAGAAGACCAUUAAAAAAUAAUAUUGUCGGAGAAUUAUUUACCUUGAUCCAAUUACAUAAUAAUUCAAGGGUAUAAUUAGAAAGAAUCUUUUUAUAGAGUUUUAAUCCAAACACAAAAUGAGGUGGAAAACAAUGAACCAAACACUUGAUAAAAAUAAAUUCUGCAUUACUAAUCCAUGCACUACUAAUCCCUACAUUACUAAUUCAUGCAUUACUAAUCCCUGCGUUAUCAAAUUUUUAUAACAAACGACCCCUUAAUACUAUAAAAUCAAAAUUAUCAGUAAAAAUUUAAACUUCGAUUUUAUGAGUUUACUAUCUCUGCGCACAAUUGUAAAUCAAGCUGGUGAGUCGUGACUUCCUAGUACACUUCCUCAACAACUACAAGCACUACCAAAAUGAAUUACUCCCUCUUGCGAAUUUAUAAUAUAUAGUUUGAAUUUAAAAGUCGAAUUUUUUUUAUAUGUAUCGAGUGUAUACAUCAAAUUAAUACAAUUUUCAUUAUUACGUGAUUUAAUAAAGUAAAACACAUGUUAAUUAAUUAUGAUUAAGUAAACUGAACUAUAAAUUUAAACACAUGGGCAUGCAUGUAUUGACUUGGUGUCUACAUCGGUGCGGAUAAGUUUUACCCAAAAGUCAGAUUAAAAAAUUAUCAUAAUUUAUUUAUAUAUCCUUCAUAUAUUUUAAUUACUAUUUUUUGUGACUUAUAAUAUUUUUACAUAUUUUUUAAAUAUAUAAAUUAUAUUUCAAGAAUCUUAAAAAUUGUGUAUUAAAAUCCUCUGAAUCUACCGUCAAAAUAAAGAAAUUUGUGUCUCUAAAUUAAAACUACGUCAUAUAAAUGGGAGAAAUGGAGUAAACAAAUAUUUCCAAUAAAUAAAACAGAAAAAUUAGAGAAAUAGAGUAAAUAAAUAUUUCCAAUAAAUAAAAGAGAAAUUUAUUAGUGAGAGAAAAGGUAAAAGAAAAGGAGAAAAAUGUGAAAAAAGGGAGUUUUCUUGUGGAUGGAAAAGAAAAAAAGAAAGAGUAAGUACGGAUUUCUCUCCCCUCUUUGUAUAUAAUUAGGAGAGCCACAUAUAUAUAACACACAAAUACUUAUAACUCUCUCAUCCAGUUUUUGAUCCCUCUUUUGACUCUUGUCUCCUACUCUCCUUCCCUUUAUAUAUAUAUAUAUAUAUAUCUCUCUGUUUUCUUUUAUCAAAAUCUCAAUUCUACAUUGAAAUUUCAAGAUUCCACUUUUCUCAGGUAAAUUUUUGUAUAUCCAUCCAUCAAGAUUUUGAUCAGGAUCAAUUCUUGGUCAAAAUCUUGAUUUGCAUUCAACCUAACUGGCCGUUUUGCUGCUUUUUUUUGCUUUCCCAAGAAAGUAAUGGGUUUCUACUUUUAGUAAUCUUAUUGUAGGAGGAUUACUACUUCUUUUGAACUACUUGUCGUGUGUUUCUUGAAAAUACAGAAAACUUGUAUCGAUUGACAACCAAGAAAUCAGAUAAUAGUAGUAAAAUUUGUUCUUUUUCAAACUAGUUGAUUCAAAAACAGGACAAACAGCUGCCAGCUGUAUUAUAUUUGUAUACUAUAAAUAAAUGUGGAUUUUUCUCACAUGUUAUUGUCCAUUUAUCAAUCACAGAACAGAAAGCAAAUGGAGAUUGCUGUUUACAAACCCUAUGGUGAUCAUGAAUUUCAAUCACUCAUUGAAAGAAUUCACCCUCCCAGGUUUAGCUUUAACUUCAAUCUUUCAAUACUUCUAUCUAAAUUUUUUACAAUUUUGAUUGUUAAAGUUAUAUAUACCAAUCGAUUGUGUAAGUAACUUUUCUACUGCAUAGAAUUUAAACCCUUCUUUAUAUUUUGGCUUCAUUACUAAAUUUGUUUUUGGCUAUGGCUUUUCAGGGUGUGCAUUGAUAAUGAUACUUGCCGAAACUGUACUAUUGUGAAGGUAGGAAGAAUCGUUAUCAUUUUCUUAUGUUUCCUUCAAAUUAUAAAUAUUGAUUUCGAUGAGUUAGAUAAUGACUUUGAUUUGGUUUAAGUUUUGUGCACCUAACCAGCUAAUGGAUUCCCUCUUAGAUUCCAACAGCAUAUACUGAGGCCAACUUACAGGAAUAUUAGCCUAAAAAGACCUGCAUUACCAUCAUUUAGUUAGGCGGUAAUCAAUUUAGUUAGGCGAUAAUUUUAUAUAUUUUUCUUGAAGAUUAAUUCAUGUGCUGAUAUAGUUGAACAAUUUCUUAAAAGAUAAACAAUCAUACUAAAUUCGUAUUAGUAGUGACAAGGAAUUUCGGAGAACCACAGGAAAAGUUAAUGAAUGCCUACUUUCCACUUACAAAAAUCAGAUUGCAAUACUGCAGCUGUUUAUUGAUUGUUAAUUAAAAUGCUAAUUAUACUUCUAAUAGGGUCCACUAUCGUUAAGUGAUUGGGAAUAUUCUUACCCAAUUCUUGUGUAACCAAAAAGCUAAACAGAAAAUGAUUGAGAAAACUGGAAUUUAAUUUCUGCUCUGCAAGCUGUAAUUUCUGUUGUGCAAUAUUGAACUGAGAUGUUUAAAUUGCGCAAACAUGAAGUGAUAAUUCUCUUAUUUGUGUGGGAUUGUGACGGUAGUUAUUGUAAUUUGUUGGACCACAGGUUGAUAGUGCGAACAAACAUGGUAUAUUGCUGGAGAUGGUCCAAGUUCUGACGGAUCUGGACCUACUGAUUCUAAGAUCAUACAUAUGCUCUGAUGGUGGCUGGUUAAUGGAUGGUUAGUUCUCUUUUUUAUCUAUGCCUUUUCUUAUCUUACCAAUCACUUACAGCUGGUUUGAAUAUUAUUAAUCCAAUAUAAAAAAGAUGCAAGUAACAACUUUCUGAUCCAUAGCUGAGUCAUUCACAACUAAAAGAUAUUGUUUUUUCUUUCAUCUUUUUCCAGUUUUCCACGUAACUGACCAACUUGGGAACAAAAUCACUGACGAAAGCCUCAUCCACUACAUCGAACAGGUUAGUCUAUGCUUUAUUCACUUGAAUUAUAGUACUACUUUCAAGAAACCCAUUUUGUGGGUUUUAGGUGCUGGCAGCUGUUAUCCAAAAAUAUGUUUUUCUUUUUCGUUUUUCAAAUUAACAUUAAACUAAAAAAAACAAGCUUAAUGCUGACAGGCUAUUUGUGCAAGUAGAAGAGGGUCCAGGGAAGUCCAAACAUGUGUUGGUAGAAAUGUAAGGCCCAGGCAUGUCACGAUGGAGCACACAGCUAUGGAGAUGACAGCAACAGAUAGACCAGGGUUAAUGUCCGAGAUAUCUGCUGUUCUGGCUGAGUUAGGAUGCCAUGUCUCUGGUGCCGUGGCAUGGACACAUAACAAGCGAGCAGCCUGCAUUGUUUACAUGGAAGAUGAUCUGAAGCAUGGGCCAAUCAUGGACCCCUAUAGAGUGGCACAAAUACAGGCCCAGCUGGAGAAUGUUGUUGAGGCCCACCAUUAUGAAGGGGAGCGACGGACUGUGAGGUUGGCAGCCCCUGCAGCUAGCCAGACCCAUACCGAAAGACGGCUUCAUCAGUUGAUGGCAGCUGACAGAGACUAUGAACAAUGUUGUUCCUGUGGUUAUGAUUCAAGUGGAGAUGAUGUAGCUCACAGGCAGAAGAAGGGAUCUAAUAGCACAGAAGUGAAGAUAGAAAAUUGCAAGGAGAAGGGUUACUCCAUUGUUACUGUGAGGAGUAUGGACAGACCUAAAUUGCUAUUUGACACUAUCUGCACCUUGACAGACUUGCAAUAUGUCGUGUUCCACGCCUCCAUCAGUUCUUUUGAAUCCAUUGCCAUUCAGGUAAUCUUUUACUUUUGCCCUCUUUAUCUAACUGCUCCCGCAAAGUCAUAGUGGUUCAGGUCCAGACAGUACCAAAAAACACUCAAUUUUUGUUUUUAACUCUCUACGUAUGCAUGAAAAAACACAGGAAUACUAUGUGAGACACAAGAAUGGAUGGACUUUGGAUUCAGAAAGUGAGAGACGGAGAAUGAUCCAAAAUCUGAUGGCUGCUACUGAGAGGAGAGUAUCUCAUGUACGUUUUCAAAAUGGAUUAACUAGCACACCGUUUACUGUAUCUUUAUAAUCUACUUUCCCCCUCCCUAUAACAAAGUGCUCUAAUGAGAUAUAUUAGGUGACUAUAUGAUCUGUACAGGAAUUGAGGCUGGAUGUUACUACUCAAAACAGGGUAGGACUGUUAGCAGAUGUCACAAGAGUGUUUCGGGAGAACGGAUUAUCCAUAAGCAGGACUGAGGUUGGGGUACAGGGAGAGCAAGCAGUUGGCACAUUCUAUGUAAAAGAUACUUCAGGGCAAGCUGUGACUUCAGAAACCUUGGAGAUAGUAAGACGAGAAAUUGGAGGUACUGUCCUGGUGGCAAAUAAAUCCUCAGAGAGGCCAUCUUCUCAACCAACAAAUUUGUCAAAUACAAGCCCUAGCAUAAGCACUAGCAGUAGCAAUGGCAAGCAAGACAACAAGCCUGGUUUCUCAUUAGGAAGCAUGUUUUGGUCUCAGCUUGAGUGGCUUUCCAGCAAUUUCAGACCUAUAAAAUCCUAAGAUUUCAAGUGGUGAUCUGAAGACCCUACUGUGUUUAGGCCAUGUUGAUUGUAAAUAUUUAGCAACUUCCAUCUGUAAAUAAAUUAGCAACCUCCGUCUGUAAAUAAUUAGCAAUCUCCGUAAAUAAUGAUAGAGGCAUGGUACAAUGUACAUAUCUUUGCAGAGUAAAGCCAUUGGUAGUUCCAAAGUUUAAUGGGUGGCGUAUGAAUCUAUCAACUAGAAUCUAAAUUGGGAACUGAUAAAAGGGAAAGUGACAUCUCAUAAACUUCAUUUAUCAUCGGUAUAAAGCUUUACAUUUAUUAAGCUUGACAAUUAUAUUUUGAAUUGGAUGAGUUAUGCUCAUAUAGUGACUUAUAUUUUGAAUUGGAUCUUCUUCGAGUUAUGCUCAUAUAGUGACACAAGUAGGAAGUUACCAUCAAUUAAUAGCAUGAACACAUUAUUGCAACCCAAUUGUUUUUCAUUAUGCGUUCUAUGUACAAACAAUACAGUUUAGGAGUUCUCAGCGGAGAGCACAGACUGGAGGAUCGGGAAUAGCUAUUCACAAGAAAUGCGCGGAACAACAACUAUAUUUAAAUCUUACAUAAGUUCAUGCCAUCUCAAGGUCAUCAAUAUCCAGCCAAUCAUUUGGUUCUUUGCUAUCAGGAUUCUGCACAUUUUCCUUAACAGAACCAAUCUGAUUGAUGGAGCUGGUAUCUCUAGACAAGUCAGUGGAGCUUUUCCUCAACUGGACCCAAUCUUGUGAGUCCUUAUCAGAACUGUGAAUUGCCAGCUUUGAUUUUGCAGGCAUAUCUGAAUCAUCCUCUUCAAGAUCACUGAAGGACACAUCCUCAUCAUCCUCAAAGGACAUGCUGGUUUUACUGGUACCUGUAAUUUCCGUGUUUUCUUCCUUCAACCAAUCAUCAGCAUCCUCUUCGUCACUCUCCUCUAACUUAGUCGCCGAUGCAGAUUGCAAUUUUUCAUCUUUGCUUAGGGUAAUAGGUCUUUCUUCAACCACAAGUUUAUCAACUGUUUGAUUUUCACUAAUGACAGGGUGCACAUCGGUACCACAGCUAGCCACUAUAGAUGAAGUGCCAACAUCCACACUAGACAUGUCUUGAACCACAACUGCAGAGAGAGCAGCGGACGGGACAGCAAGCAUCUCCUCCUGUUGAAAACCACCCAUGUCGGUUGAUUUAAAAGUCUCCUCCUUUGACCAAUCUCCUUCUAUUGGCUUGGUUCGUUUAUGUAACUCUUGCGCCAAUGACGCCCUGGCCUUGACUACCUGCACACAGGAUUAGCAUUUUCAGCACCAAAGGUUACCAAUAACUAUUCUCUAGUACAAGGAAUAAAGGAUUAGCGAACUGUAGACUACUUUUUAACAAAGGCAUGCUUUGUUCAUAUGCUAACUAACCAAGUAUGAGCAAUCACUCUGUUUUACUAUUGGUUUCGUACUCAUUAUAUAUAGCUGGCUAGAUUAUAGUUUCCCUCCCUACUCAUCCACACGCACAACUACUGAAUAGUACACGUUUACGGCACACAUUAGGGGUCCAGGGGGUUAAUAAGAAGCCCAAAAAUAUCAACGCUCACCAGAAAAAUUGUUAACCAAAAGUAAUGCAAUAAAAAAUACAACCUUGAAGCUUUCAACUGCCAAAGAGAGGAGAUGAUAGAGGAGAAGAAGAAUUUCCAAGUAGCAACAUAAGCAGCAAAACAAAAAAGGAAGGAAGGAUUUGUCACAAAAAGACAGGUAGGAAGAUGUUUUGACUAGCUCCCCUGAAUAGCCAAGUGCCAAUAUGGCAUCAAUAUACUGAACAUGUACAGGAGAGAAGUCCCAAGAAUAGCAAUGAGUCAGAAAUGGGAUAAUGAAAAAUCUCUAAGCUCUGAUGGCUUGUUCAAAUACUACCUCCAGCAAUACUAGCAUUGGUUUAGCAAAAAAUAACAAUAAAGCUUAAAAGCUUCUCACUCGAAAAAGUUAUUCUGACCCAUACAUAUUAGGAGAACUACUUCCACGGACCAAAAAGAAAAUCACUUCUGUUUAAGAGUUGUUCCCCUAGAAUCAGAAUAGGCCAGGCCAAUUCUCUAAACCCCAUAAAUAACUAUGAUUGGUAGUGUUCUUUCAAUCACACAUUAACUUUUCUGUUUAGAAUAGCCCCAUCUGUAUCCAUUUUUCAUAAGGAUAUUUCUCCCUGUGCUCUUUGAUACUUACUCAAUAAACAGUUAUAAAUAGUAAUACAACUACACAAGAGCUACUUUACAGUAAGAGUUGUGCACCCACUUCUACUAUAAAAGAACUUCAAUACUUAUUUCAUAAUCAGCCCAGACAAAAGAUAACCUUGAUAGGGAUUAUAUGAGUGAAUUGCAACCUUAUCAAGGAGAAAAAUAAGGCGUGAAAGAUUUGACAAGCUUGAAAAAAGAAAGAUUUAGCAAGUGACCUUCCAUUCAUUAAAUCCUAAUCAGCCUUUCUCCAGGUCCAACAACAUAUUCAUUAAACUACAUUCUACUCAUUAGAAACCAGUAGAUAGUGCCAAUUGUUGUCAGAGCUAAUGAGUCAAAAAACAGCAAGUUAUGCAAGGACUGUCUUUUACUACUUUUGCAGAUAAAGCAUUUUUUUCAUUUAUAAAGGAGAAAAAAAGAGCAUGGUUUAAAGUGCUAAAUAGAUUGUGAAUGAGAAAUGGAACCAUUUCUAGCAUUACAUGCACUGCCUUACCUGGGGUGUGGAUAAAAGUUCAGCAUCUUGUUUAUCCAGUCUAGGGUGCAGAAGAACAAAGUAAAUCUCCCAAAAGCGAGCCUCACUCAUGUAACCUGGGCAGAGCUCAAUCCUCAAAGCAGCCAGUCUUGGAGCAAGACGCUCGACAGCUAAUGCAUGCUCUUGUUGUGCAUCAGACAAGUCAAAAUCUACUGUAAUAGAUAGAGCUAAAUGUUAGAUAUUCCGUCCUUAAAUAUACGUGUCUCAAAGCAUACAUUACACAAUAAAGUUGUGAUAGUAACAUAUGUAAGAAAGAGUUACAGUCAUGUAUGAUAACCAAUAGUUUAUGUAAGGGUUUCGAGAUCAUCCAGAAAAACAGGACACAGAUAAGAAAAUAAAGGGAGUUGGCAUAUUUCCAUGUCACCAUCAUAAUGGGAGUAUUAAUAAAACUUACAACAACCCAAAAAAGGAAUAUUAAUAGAAGUUCAGCAUCUUGUUCAUCCACUUCAGGGUGAACAAUUACAUAUAUGAACUAAGUCAUCGGUAAAUAAAAGGGCAGCACGGAAACAUCCAAAGGUUUAUAUUUCACCAUGAAAUGCACAUAAACAAGCAUCUGUUUGACUCUGCACAUUCAAAAGAUAUAUGCACAAAGUUGGAAACUUUUACCCCUCUACUUUCAAGUAUCCAAAACAAGCAUUUCACUCUUUACCUUGAAUUCUACAUUAGUCAAAUUGAAACCUAAAUAAAGCUUCCAUCUUUUCUAUCUUUGAAGCUGCUACCUAGUAAUUAAAGUGCUUUCAGUUUAAGGCCAGUGUGGACUGUGGAUUGAUGAGUGAUUUUUUCCAAGCUACAAAUCUCUAAGAGUAUAUUUAACCUUUGAAAUCUGCUUGUUAUCCAACAGUUAGUUUCAUAUCAUCUCGGUUAAGAGAGGAAAAUCUUCUCAUGUUCAAGUCAUGUUGUGUGGCGCCUAAGCAUUGAGCAGUCCAAACUAUUAUAUUGAUCUCAAAGGUUCAUUAUUGAUCAUUCUAAUAACCAAAAUCAUUUUUGCACAAGUUGUGAGUAUUGAUAUGAGUAAGAAAAAUCGAAAUGAAAGCACAGUGCAGGCUCAAAAUUAGGUGAACAUGUAAAAGGAACAAUAAAAAGACACCUUCGUCGUCUUCAUCAUCAAACAAAGGGAAAUCCAACCAAGUCUCAGGAUGCAUAGCAAUGUUCCUCACAAAAGCCACUACUUCCUCAGUAACACCAACUGCACCUCUACCGGAAUCAAACCUCUUACCCUCUUCGUCGUCCUCCUCCUCUGGUCCCAGUUGCAGUAAGUUGGAAGCCAUUUUGGUGAUUUCGGACACGGGAAUAUUCUUCGAAAGCUUAGAUAUCCCACUCUUGAAUCUGCCCCCAAUUUCAGCAAUAUCGCUCCGCAAACCCGCGAUCCCCGCAGGAUCGGACUCUUCGUCAUCCGAAACUCGAGCUGGUCCAGAAUUCGGAUCCAGUAAAAGCUUAUCAGGCUCGGAUUGGGGCGGUGGAGCCAGGAAAGAGGCCACUCCCCAAAAUUGACGGGUUAGGGUUUUGGUGAGCUCUGAGAAGUCAUCCUUGACGCCGCGUGAUGGUGAUACUGGCGGUGAAUCAUCAUCAUCUGUUUGUUGCUUCUCCGUAGUAGGUUUUUCAGUAGAGUGAUCGUGAUUGCUUGAAACGUCAUCGUCCCUAUCGUCGUCGUCGUCGAGUCUGAGAGUAUUGGCAAUGGAUCGAGCAAACCAUGACAUUGUAAGAUGAUGGUGACAGAAAAGUUGGAGGUUUCACAGUUCGCCGGCGAAGACUAAUUUGGUUAAGACAGUUGGGAACUUCGCAAUCGACAAGCAAAUAUGAGCUCAAGGACAGACGAGCAAGACAAAGCUUCGUCGUCGUUUUGAGGUCGCCUAAUAAUUGGUGUUUGUUGCUUCAAAACUUCACUGUAAAUUUUCUAGAAUGAGAUGUUCUUCGUUUGAUUGCAAAAAUACUUUUUGCAAAAUACAUUGUUUUUCAUCUUUUGCAAAAACUUUUCUUCAAAAAAAUUUAAAACAAACUACCUAGUAGAUAAUUACCGGUAGGGGUGUUUUACAUCAUAUCAAUUCAAGUUCCUAUUAUUAAGUGAUAAUUAUGUACACUCAAACACAUAUCAUACAUUUCUUAUUUAAUAUAAAUAAUGAAUUUAUUUUACAUACCUUUUGAAUCACUCCAUUUUAUAUUACCGGUCUAUUUUCCUUUUUGCAUGUCUCUUACAAAAUUAUAAAUAAGAAGAAUAUUUUUUCUAAUUUAUUAUUUAUUUUUUGUUUUUCUUAAUGUAUCUUGUUUAUCGAUAUCAAGAUUAAUAAAAAAAACUUUCUUGGAACCUUACGAUAUUUAUAUUUUAAAAUAAAUUAAUUUUAAGUGCAAAAUGAAAACGUUUUAAUUAAUUCUAUCUUAAUUAUAUAAAUUAACAAACAAUUUGAAAUAUAAGUGUGCUAAAUAAUAAAUGUGCUAACAAAUUUAUCCCCACUUCUCAAAUGAAAAACACUUAGGGCCGUUUGGUACAAAGAUCAGUAGUGCAGGGAUUAGUAAUGCAGAAAUUAAUAAUGCAUGGAUUAGUAAUGUACUAAUUAUGUUUUGUGUUUAUCCUUUAUACCAUACAAUUGAAUUGACAAGACUCCCCAUUAUGUCCCUUUCUUCGUCAUAAUUAAGGUAUUAGUAAAACAAAAAAGAAUUCAAAACUGGUGUCUAAUAUUUUUCAGUAUUUAAAUCCAAUAAAAAUAUACACUUGAGAAAUAGUUUAGAUUAUCCUUUGUCAUCUCGAUUACGACAUAUUUUUUUUUAUAAUCAUUUAUUGAACAGUUCGUUGUAUAUACAGUAUAUGGAGUAUGGACAUUGUUCAUGCCUUCCUUUCUAUUUUCUUUUUUAAAAAAAUUGGAAAAAUUCACUUACUUGAUUAAUUUUUUUUUGUCCAUGUUGAGUUCAUAAAGAACAAAAACAACUCUCUAUCAAUAAAAAAAUUUCCUUUUGUGGGUCUUGCAGAAAAUAUCCUAUGUCAGCCCAAUCCUUUUGGAGCCCUUUCUUUUUUCCUCAAUAAGAAAAUUAUAAAUACUUCAUCAACAUUAAUCUCUUCAAUAUUCAAUAGUUUCGAAAAAAAUGAUCUAAUUUCAUUUGAUACGAAGUUUAUGAAAAUAAAAAUAUUUUUUUUAAUUUUAUGAUCCUAAAUUAAAAUUAUGUCAAAUGUACCAAAAUGUCAUUUAAUCUUAUGAUCUUAAAUAUGUCACGUAAAAACUGAAAUUAAAAUAUUAUCAGAAAAAGAAAAUAACCAUUAUUUUUUAAACAGACUUAAAAAGAAAGUAAAUCAUUUUAUUUUAUAAACGGAGGGAUUAACUUAAUUCCACUUUUGACAAUGUCCAUAAUCUUUAAUUAGUUGCUCCCCACUUACCUAUUUCUUUUCGUACAUACUAAUUUUGUACUUAUCCACAAGUUGACUUGUAAAAUUUUGUUCAUCUUCUGAUUAUAUCGUUGUUCAUAAGGGCUCGAUUGUUAUAAGCGUGAAAAUGAGCACGAAGGCCAACAAAGAAAGUAGAAUUAAUAAGUGUAUAAAAGCACCAAUCCGAAUUCUAAUUAAAGCCAGGGAUUGCUACGUCCGGAGCCUGACGAAUUGUUCAGGCAGAAUGGGCUACGGAAGUGCCAUUGGCUCAUGUCCUGCUUUUACACAAUUCUCCUCUUUGCCCAGAAGUUUCAGUGCUAAUUUAUCUGCGUCUAGUGGUGAUGAUGAUUUCAGGGAGCUGAUGCGAAUUUCUUCGAGAAAAAAUCAUGUGGAAUUGGAGAACGUAAGGCAAAAAUCCCUCGAUAAAAAAGGGAGGAAUGUUAUGCCUCGGACUCGUUACGUUGCCAUUGGACGAAUUGAUGAAGAAGAGCCCUGUGAUUUUGGCGAGGAAGUCAGAGUGAGCACAGAUGUUUAUCCAAGAAGUAGAAGUUAUGCUGUUUCUUCAGGAUGGACAACGAUGUCAACUUGAAACAGAAUCCAAAGUAAAAAAAAUCAAAAAAUUUGGCAUCGUUUUUUUAAUUGGGGGAAGGGGAAGGGGAAGGAGAUUACAAUGGGAACGUAUCCUCACUAAUAAGGUAAGAUGAAGAGUGCAGAUAGUCAAUCAACUAAACUAUUAAGAUUUCUCUUGGCAUCAGUUAUUCAAUCACCUGGAUUGUAAUUUGUGUUCUCUCUUCCGUUGUUGUCAUCUGUUUUUGCAUAAACAUGUUCAAUUAAUUAGCGCCGUCAGUUCUCCAGGUAAUAUACUGCUUCUUUCAUUCUCUGGUUACCCUUCCUCUUAAUGUUCAUUUUUCUACAUGGAGGUAAAUUUUAUUGAUAAUAAUCUUGGAGAAAAUAUUAAUCAAGGUUAAGACAAAAUGUUAAUGCUUACGAUAUAUAUACUAAGGAUGAUUUGAUGAUCUAUCACCACUAGCUUGCCUUCAUCGCACAAUUUUGAUUGUCAACUAUCACCAUCAAACAGUAACGGAAUCAAAAAUUUAAGUAAGGAAAUUCAACAACUUAUGUAGAUAAGAAAAGGGUUCAUUUUUAUCUUAUAUACAUCAAAUUUAUUUUUUUAAUAAAAAGGUUCAAUUGAACUCUCUUGCAACUCAAUGCCUCCACCAUUUCACAACUAUUGUCAUCAGUUUGAUUCACCAAUCACGACCACCAUCAUCCAUUACCUUUUAAUUAUCAUCAUUAAUCACCACUAUUGUCAAUUGUCACUGUCGCAACCUUUUAGAGGUAGUUGAUAAACAAACCAUGUUUACAAUCCCAAUUAAAUUAAUAUUUGGUAGAUAUACAUUUAUUUAUUGAUUAUGUUGAUUUAUUUAAAUAUCUAAUUAUGAUUUCAUCUUAAUCUUUCUAAAACUAAACGGGUUAAGAGUAUUUUAAUACUUUGGGAUCUUCUUCGGUAUUUAAAUUGUUUAGGAUUUCUAGGUCCAACAAUUAAAAUACACCCUCAUAAGUAUAUCAUAAGAAUUAAGAAAGGCAACUUUAGUACUCUUUAAUUAAUCAUAAAGUUUGUGUCUAUAAUACUCUCUAUCCACUUAAAUAUCACAUUAAUUAACACCUACACUCAUUGAAAUAGUAAAAUAAAUUUUCAAAAGAAAACAUAAAAGUUUUAAUUUUGAUUCUCUCCUUCAUCGAUCGAAAAAUUAAAUCAAAAUAAGUAGAUGAAAAUUAAAACUAUCGAUGUCCAUCCCUAAAAAAUAUGAGACUUCAAGAAAAAGAAAAAAAGAGUGGGUGGGAGAGUAAAUAAAAGAGUCAUGUGCCACCUUUUAAUUAGAGAAGGAAAGUGACGGAAGAGGCUAGAUAUUUUUUGGGAGAAGUAUUUGAAAACAUGGAAUUAUUAAUCUCAUCAUCAAAAUAUUGGUAGCCUUAAAAACACCUUUUUAUUUAAAUAACUUAACUUAAAUACACCCCGAUCUUACAACAUGAGUGAAAUAUACCUUUAAAUUCUCAUCAAAUUUAGGGGUGUUGUCAACACUCCCCUCGAUUUUAUAUUACGAGUUACAUGUCAUACAAAAGAUUGAGACCAUUUGCUAUAUCUUUUUGCAGAUCGGGAGUGUAUUUAAGUUCAGUUAGUCAAACAUAGAUGUAUUUUUAAGGUUGUCAAUAAUUAAGGACGAAACGCAAAUUUGUGUCAUAUUUUAUUAGAUGUUUUAGCUAAAUUAUUGUGAGCGGAGAUAACACACUUUAUUUUGUUAACUAAUUAGUCAAGAAUAGCCAAGUAAUACAUUUUGAAAUGAAUUAAGAAAUCUAAUAAAAAUAAGUUUGAAUCAAAAUGUCAAAAUAAAAUUAAAAUUAAUUUAAGAAUUUGUUUAUUGGACUUUUAACUUCAAGCCUGGCAUAUGAGAUGGCGAAGUGGAGGAUAAAAUCAAGAAAAAACUACUUAACUACACAUACAUCCCUACCAUAUAUAAUGAACCAGCAAGCAAUGCCCAAUAAAUUGUGACAGAUCGUUUGAUACGAGUGAUAUGAAAUAAAACACAUGAUUAUUUUUGGGAAAAACUGCUUAACUACACAUACAUCCCUAUCAUAUAUACUAUAUUUACCUCUAGUUUAAAACAAUUACACAUACUAUCACUUUUAAUAUUUAUACCAUAUAUUUUAAAAUAUUUAAUCAGAUACAUAAAUCCCUUAAAUAUGAUAUUUCAUAAUUAUCUUAAAUUUAAACUUCUUAAUUAAUGAUACAUUAACAAUUCAAAUCCCCCACCCCCCUCAAAAGUCCACCAACCCUUGUUUUUACUCCCUCUUUCUUCCAUCUGUCGUUCCCCCCACAUCCCAAUUUCUUCUUCCUCUUCAUUUCAUCUGUCGUUGCCCCCACCUAGCCCUCUUUAUUCCUCCAUCUCCUCUCUCUUUCUUCCUUCGUCCUCUUAAUACAUGUUUGCAUGUUCAAAUUAGCAUUAUACAUAUAAGUUUAUUUCUAUUGUUUUAUUAUUCUCAUUUAUCUUGGUUUUGUAUUUAAGUUAAAGUUCAUCAUUCUCUGAAAUUCAAUUUUAAAUAGUUUUACAAAUUAAGUUUUAUAUUUUUUAAUUUUGUUGUUUUUCAAACACUUUUGUGACUGGACAUUCUCGAAAUCGGAUGAUUUUUGUUAAAGGUACUGCACAUUAACAAUACUAUACUAAAUUAAACAACUUUUAUUUGUUUAUUUUCACUCAUGAAUUUCUCAUUGCAGGGACUGACUCUUCAUCUGCCAACAUUUAAGUCGAGAAUUGAUCUAAAUAUAGGAACGACCUAAUCAAGAUGGAAGAAUUUUGUCAAGCUUUAAUUAACAGAACAAAUACAUCAUAAGAUACACAUCGAGUGCAACAAUGUUGAAUACAUAUCAGGUGUAUAUAUAUCUAGUUAAGACUUCAUGUAUCUGAGUUAAAAAUGUAUUUAUGAGAAAUAAUUUUAGAUGCCAAAUUUAUGCGUUUCAAUUACAUUACAUAUUUAGAUACACAUAAUUAUAUGUAUAUGCUUACUAUGCAUCCGAGAUACAUGUUUUUGAAUAUAAUGUAUGAAACUGAUNNNNNNNNNNNNNNNNNNNNNNNNNNNNNNNNNNNNNNNNNNNNNNNNNNNNNNNNNNNNNNNNNNNNNNNNNNNNNNNNNNNNNNNNNNNNNNNNNNNNNNNNNNNNNNNNNNNNNNNNNNNNNNNNNNNNNNNNNNNNNNNNNNNNNNNNNNNNNNNNNNNNNNNNNNNNNNNNNNNNNNNNNNNNNNNNNNNNNNNNNNNNNNNNNNNNNNNNNNNNNNNNNNNNNNNNNNNNNNNNNNNNNNNNNNNNNNNNNNNNNNNNNNNNNNNNNNNNNNNNNNNNNNNNNNNNNNNNNNNNNNNNNNNNNNNNNNNNNNNNNNNNNNNNNNNNNNNNNNNNNNNNNNNNNNNNNNNNNNNNNNNNNNNNNNNNNNNNNNNNNNNNNNNNNNNNNNNNNNNNNNNNNNNNNNNNNNNNNNNNNNNCCAAGCUUUAAUUAACAGAACAAAUACAUCAUUAGAUACACAUCGAGUGCAACAAUGUUGAAUACAUAUCAGGUGUAUAUAUAUCUAGUUAAGACUUCAUGUAUCUGAGUUAAAAAUGUAUUUAUGAGAAAUAAUUUUAGAUGCCAAAUUUGUGCGUUUCAAUUACAUUACAUAUUUAGAUACAUAUAAUUAUAUGUAUAUGCUUACUAUGCAUCCGAGAUACAUAUUUUUGAAUAUAAUGUAUGAAACUGAUACUUGAUACAUCAAAUUAAUACUAGAUACAUAUAAAAAGAUACAUGAAAUUAAAAUUAGAUCAUAUAAACAGAUACAUGAAAUUAAUAUUAGGUCAUAUAAACAGAUACAUUAAGUUAAUACUAGACACAUAUAAUAUAAACACGAAAUUGAUAUUAGAUACUUCUAUGAUAUAUAUGAAUGUACUUAUAUGAUACUAAUGUAUCUAAGUGUUUAAUUUGUUGGAUACAUCAUAUAUUAAUAAUAGAGACAUUAAAUUAAUGAAUUUAUUAUUUUAAGAGUAAUAAAAUGAGAUUAAUCAAGUUAAAUGAUCAAGAUAUACAUGUUUUCGUCUUUUAUUAAUAAUAUUGAUGAAUUUAUUAUUUCAAAGAAUAAUAAAAUAAAAUUAAUUAAACAUAUAUACACUCAUUGCUUUUUGCCUUAUAUUAAGAGAUUUGAUUAAUUUAAAUUUACUAGAAUUAAUUGUCCAUUGCAAUCUGAAAAUCCUCAAUUACUCCUCUAAUUAAGGAAAUCAGUUACAGCUAAUUAAUUUAAACAUAUAAAAUAUGUAUCUCGGUUUUAAAAUUCGGCAGAUACAUGUAUCUCGCGGAUUCAAACCCAUAUAUCCUAAGCAUGAAAUAUGGUAGAGGAAGUAAUAUUUGAAACUAUCCUGAAUCUUAGUAAUUAAGAUCUAAACUAGUGGGAUUUAUGUAGUUUACCCUUAAAUCAAAUCUCAUUGAUACAAGUAACAACUUUAUUACUCCGUAACAAUAUAUCUUUCGGUCAGUUUUCGUGGGAAUAAAUAUGUUAAUUCUUCUAUUACACCUAUAUGGGGGUUUUUAUGAUUUGGUUGGAGUCUAUUUUAUUUAAAUUAUAUGACCAAUCAAUUAGGUUGGUUUUUAAAUGCAACAAUUAUUUUUUUAUUGAGUCAAAUUCUAUCCCUUUUUUUCUUUCAAUUUUUGUGUUUAUCGGAUUCUUUUAAUAAGAUUGAUUAAUUUAUUAAAUAAUGAUGUGAUCUAUCUCUUAGGAAAUUUUUAAUUGUGGAGUGAUCUCAUUUUAAAACAGGAGAUUAAAUUGUAAAUAAAAGAAUCUACAGAUCAAAAUAAAAAACCAAUGCCAAUCAAAUAAACUUUAUUUUAUUUUUUCAACAUCAAACUUUUGCAAUAAAAUGACUUCAAUAUACGUCUCUAAUUAUUAAAUGUCAUAAUUGAACAAAUGAGUUAACAAUUUCUUGCGAGUAAUAAUAGGAACAAAACAAAUAUAUGCCUCUACUUACUAGAUGUAUGAGCAUAUGUAAAAUUAUAAUUUUUUAUUUAGUACUAUUUGAGUAAUCGAUUUGAUUUGAAUCUUGUUGGUUAAAAUUUAUGAUUUUUUUUUUUUAAAAAAAAAUCAAUUAAAUUCUAUUGGAUUUGACUUAUCGAGAUUUUCCAUGGACACCCCUUCACCCCUUCUUACAUUAUAUAUUUCGUAUUCAUAUAUAUAUAUAUAUAUAUAUGUUACUCUAUUGUUCAAAUAGCCACCACGAUUAAAUUUAAAAGAUAUAAAUUGUUUAAUUUUCAAAGAUUGCUGACUUUGCCUUGCGCUGCUAAGUUAAGGUCUACCAGGCCUCUAGUAAUAUUUUUUUGGAAUGUCCUUAAAUAAAAAAAUAGCAAUUAGUUAGAAAGCGAUCCUUUUUCCUCUUAAUUAUAUUGGUCCUCUUUCUAAUUAAAUAAAUCUCGACAGAGUUGGCCAGGCCACUGUCAAUCAUUUCAUAUGUUUUUUAUGCAAAUUUAUUUUUUUAAGAAAACUACAAAUGAAUACUCCAACUGAAUUUGUAAUUCAUUCAUAGAGAUCAUGUAUGAGUUUAUAACAACACAUAUCAAGACGCAAUCAACAUUUCUGUUCAAUCUUAAGCUAAAUUACAAUUUAUAUAAGGCUAUUCCAAGUUGUAUCAAAACAUUUUAUUUUUUUUAAUUUAUACAUUACAUAAUUAGUUGCUUUCACAUAUUUCUACUUUUUAGUUAAAUUAAAGUUUCCAAAUUUCAUAAAUAGGCCAUGAGCAUUGAGCUAUGUUUGACUUUAGACCUCUGCACUACAAAACUAGGAAGGAGAAAUUCAUUUUUACACCCUAGCUUAUCAAGAAAAUGAAAAGGGAGAGAGAAGAGUUACACCUCCACAUAUGAACUUACAAAAAAAAAAAAGAAGUUCUAAAACAAAUAAUUUAGAGCUAUACAAAAUAUUAAGAAGAGUUAACCAGGUCAAAAUGAAGUUAAUUUUUUUCACUCAUAUUUUAAGGUUAGACUUGCCAACUACAAAAUUACUAAGUUAUUUUUCAUAUAUAAUGACAUGUAAAUAGCAUGCCCGGUUUGUUUUUAUCUGGCUGCGCAAUUAUUAGUCAAUUAUUAAGGAUGAAAACAAAGGUGAUUAUGGAUUAAGAGGGUGUUUGGAUUGGCUUUAAAGUUGGUCAAACUUACUUUUAAGUCAGUUUUUGACUUCUGAAAGUGUUUGACAAAUAUAAAAAAAAUAACUUAAAAUAAGUUGAGAAGUGUUUGGCAAGGUCAAGAAUGACUUAAAAUAUGUUUAAAAUGACUUAAAAUAAGUCAAAAACCAAAAGUAGGUCUCCCCUACUUUUUAUUUUUUGACUUAAAAAUUAUUUCAGUUUGACUUAAAAACUACUUUUUUUUAAGCCAAUCCAAACUGGCCCUAAGUCAUAGUAACUAGUUAUCCAUAUGUCAUUUGCAUAGAUCUUCCACCAGAAAUGACCAAAAAUCAUCAACAUUUAAAUAUGGAUUAAGUCGUAGUAACUAGUUCUCCAUCACAUAUAUCUAGUUGUAUCAAUUUGCCACUUUGGAAUAUUUGGCCUAAAGUGACAUGGGCGUUUGAUCAUGUUUUAUUGUAAAAUUUAAUUUUAAAAGAAGUUCUUUAUUUUUAAAGUGAAAAAUGAUAUUUGAAAAUUAUGUAAUAGAAAAUCUUGUUUGUUCAUCCUACAACUAAUUACAAGAAUUUGUCCAAAAUUAUUACUAAUAGCAACAUGAGAAAACAAAAAUGUCGAUUUCCAAAUUUAAACGACAACUGACUCAAGAAAUGGUUAUGAUUAUCUUCUUUUAAUUUUUAUUAUCUAUUGUGAGCUUAAAGAAAAUAUGAAAUGGACGUAUUCUUCUCACAUUGACUAGGGAAGUUUGAAAAAAGGAAAAUUGUUUUGUUUUUUUCAUUUUGCAAAUGCAAUUCCAAGUCUUCUUAUUAGUAUUAUAUUAUGUUCCUUUCUCCGUCGUCAAUCGUCACUGACAUUAUUAGUAAUACGAAAAUUCAACCUAUGCGUGUACUGUUUAACAAAAUAUUUACUUAAACUAAUCAUCAUUGCCAUCUCGAUUACGGCGUGUAUCUUUUUUAAAUAUAUAUUGAACAUUAAACUGUAUUUGACAUGGUCCAUACUUCAACCAUAAUUUUAUUCUUCCUUUCCGCUUAGUCAUUAUGAAUUCUUUGGCCAUCACGUCCCACAUAACCUGUUUAUUUCGAGUAAAAUAUAUCAUCUCAGUAAGAAAAAUUUAGUAACUCAUUUAAUUAAUUAUCUGAACUUUCACUUUAUUGGUGAGUAGUCGUAUCUUAAUCUUUAUAUAUUUUCUAUCAGCCCAAUCCUUUUCGAAUCCCUUUUAAUAGCCAACGAACAAAUUAUAAAUACUCCCACCCGUAUAGUCUCUUCAUUCAUUAAAGCUUUAAACUGUUUUCUCCCCACUUGUUUAUUUUCUUCUUAUCAGUCCUUUUUUCUUGCAUAUCUGCCAAUAAUACUCAACAUUCGACGGUUCAAAUUUUCUUUAUCAAAUUUUGAAAAUGAGCACAAAUAAGGGUAACAAAGAGAGCAGAAUUAAGAGGUGCAUAAAAGCACCAAUUAGAGUUUUAAUUAAAGCAAGAGACUGUUACGUCCAUAACUUGAUGGAUUGUUCUGGAAAAAUUGGGUAUGGCAGUGUUAUGGGUGUUCCACAAAUCUCUGCUUUGCCGAGAAGUUUCAGUGUCAAUUCAUCUGUAUCAAGUAGUAGGGACGAAGAUUUCAGGGAGCUGGUGCGAAUUGCUUCCAGAAAAAGUCUGGUAAACAAAAUGGAAACAGAGUUUCUGAAGCAAAAAUCAAUUGCUAAAAAUGUUGAUUUGGUGCCUCGGAGUCGAUCUGUUGCAAUUGGACGAAUCGAUGAAGAUAAGCCGUGUGAUUUUGGUGACGAUGUGAAAGUGAAUACAGAUUUGUUUCUGAGAAGUAGAAGCUGUGCUGUUUCUUCUAGAAAAACAGGGUUGUUCUGAAACAGAGGAAGAGAAUUUGGAAGAAGGAAAUAAGGCUUGGUGUUGUUAAUUAUCUGCUUGACUGUUUCUUUGGAUUGUUUUUGUUAUGGUUUCUCUUUCGCUGUUGUUGCAUAUACAUCUUCACUUUGCACUCAAUUCUGUGUGUAUAAUGUUGGCUUUGGUUUCUCGGUUGGUUACUCAACUAAUAUAGUUAUUAGUAUAUCACAAAUUCACUUUUUUCUUCAUUUUAAUUUCUUUAAUAAAAAAAGUGAAUUUAUGAGAUAAAAACUAUUAGUUGAGUAAUUAUCUUAGAAAUUAAUUCGGAUAAUGUAAUGAAUCUUCUUUUACAUGGUCUCCUGUUUUCUUAUCAAAAAGUUCUUAAUGACAAGGGCAGUCUGGUGCACUAAAAUGGUCGCUAGGGGCAGAUCUACAUAGAGUCUGUCGGGUGCUCAAGCACCCAUUAAUCUCAUCUCGAAAUAUAUAUAUAUAUAUAUCUAAGUAGAAAUUAAGAGGUAUUUGUAUAAAAUUAACAUAGAGCACCCGAUGAAUAAAUGAUCCAUUGACUCUUGGAUGGUGCUUAAGGUACUUUUACUGUUGUUGAGCUGUAGUCACUAUACGGCGGUAUCCGCAAGGAAGACAACAACUUUACUAGUUACUCUAAGACUCCCUUUAAAAUGCCAGUUCUUAAUUAUUAUUUUUAAAUGUCUGUGUAAAAACUAUAAUACUCUAUUUGAAUCAUUAAAAAAAAAUAAGUAUGCCAUUACCAACCGGACCUAUAUAAUGUUGAUUUAGUUUUUCUCAAUAUUUGAUUAAACAAACAAAGUUUAAUUUCGUUUGGUACUAUUAUCUUUUUCCUUUUAAUUCGUACUCCAUUGCCAUUUACUUAAGAAAGAAAUAUCUGGGAGGUGUUAAGCAAUGUUGUGACACAAAGAAUUGUAGUAAAGAAAUUUGAACUAUAUUAAUCCCCUCAAAAAUGUUUGUUGGACUAUAUUUCCUCAUUUAUCACUAUAGUUAAAUUAAAUAAGAUAAUCAAGGGCAAUCUUAAGUGAUGUUGACAAAAACCCAGCAGGCAAUGAAGUUUUUCAUAGAUAUUAGGAUUUAAGGAUAGUUAAUGUGGAUAUUAAAAAAUGUUAAAUUAGUUAAACCACUUGGUACGAGAGGAGGUAAGCAUAAUAAAUUAUGACAGGUGAAAAGUGGUUUGAGUUUAAUUAUGUGCAAAUAACCUCUCUUAAAAUACAGUAAUGAUUUUAGUUGUCCACUUCAAUCGUCAGGGCUAAACCAACCAACCGAUUUUUUAUUUUAAAACAAUAAAUUCUAUAAGGUAUUGUCACUACUAGAAAUAGAAACAGUGGUUUUCUCAACCGUAAAUUAAUAGAAAAUUUGUAUCAUAAAAUAUAACUAUUCUAUUUAUUUGUCAUUGAACUAGAUCAUUGAAAAAAAUACGUGGAAAAAAAAAUCGCUGAAAUACUAAAAAACUUUCUAAUUUUUCGUAUGAAAAUAUUACUAUUUUCUUCUUAUUAAUUCACCAAUUAAAAUAUUUAUAAAAAUAACCAUCAAAUAUUUUUUAAUGAGAAAUUUGAAAAAUAGUGAUUUUUCUAGUAGUGGUACUUGUCAGUUGUCCCACGUAUGGCAAGUUGAUGUCUUGGAUUAAAAACUUUUGCCUACCUCUUGUUAGGUGACUUAAUUCUAUUUUUAAAUAUUAAUCGAAUUAAUUUAUAAUCUUUGAGAAAAUAAUAGAUUGACGAGCCGUUGCGCCAAGAGAAAUGAGAAUUAAUUCACCUUCUUUUAGAAUGUUUUUUCAUUUUAUUGUGAUUUUUAUAAUCUUCGAGAAAUUUUUAGAAAGUGCUCUACACUUGCUUUCCAACUCCAUUUUUAUAGAUUUCAAAUAAAGUGUUACUAUCUUCUCUCUUUAGCAAGAAAAAAAAAGUUAUAAUUAAAUAUAACUUUAUCUUCGACUUUAAUUUUAUAAAUUUUAAAUAAAAUGAAAAAUAUUUGAAUUCUAUUGUCAUGAAAGGCCUACUAAAACAAGUUUGUUGUUGUAACACCAACUAGAAAGAGCUAGAAUUAGAAAGAGUGAUUUUUUGGAAAUAAUGAAAAUCUGGAAAUUUGACAAAGUUAAGUUAAGAAUAAGUUUUGGGUACACUUCAAACGACCAUAACUCCCACCUCAGGAUGAGUUAGGUGUGCCACAAGAUAUCGUAGAAAAUAUCUUUGAAUUAUCUUUCCAACGCCGCCGAGUUUGCGCAGUUUCGAGUUCAUAUGAGUGAGAUAUGCUCAUUUGAAGUUGGGUUGUCUAGAUAAGGAAAGUCAAAACCAGAUUUUUGAAGGGCAUUAUGGGCUUUUCACCACCCAAUUAAUUAAUUUCAUUUUCGGUAAUUAAGUGGGGUCUAAACUGAUUGGAUUCAGUUUACGCUUUUGAAAAACAAGUUAGGGUUUUGAGAGAAGAGAAAAGAAGAGGAGAAGAAGCAAGGAAUCACCAAGUUCUUGAAGAAUUGCUUAUGGAUUUCGUCCAGGGGUGAUCCCUACGAGGUGUGUCAGAUCACAUAGCGUUGGGUUAGUUCACCCGCGCGCCAAUCAUGAUUUAUUUCAGCGAAUUUAGAUUCUUAAAUGUUAGAAAUUGAGUUCUUGAUGGAUUUGUUUGAAGUUCUAUUGGGUUCUUGAUUUUUGGAGUUGUUAAGAAGUUCUUGAUUUUGAUUCAUGAAAUUAGUGUCGUUUUGAGUAGAUUCUUGCAUAUUUUGAUUAUGUAGUCAAAUCUAAGUGUUUGGGGAAAGACCCAAUUGAGUUUAAAGGGUUUAGAGUUGAAAAACGAGUAAGAAAAAUCGUCAAACACCUGAGCAGAGGGGUGGGGCACUGCGCCACUCAGAGCGCCCCACAAAGUUCUCUGAAGUUUUGACCCUGGGGGGUCACGCCAGCCAGCGUACCCCAACUUCAAUUCUGAAGUUUUGGGUCUAGUGUCCCGCACCAGGGACGCCAAGUCUUCUACUUAUCGCUCCCCGUUUUUCGCAAAACGGACUUUCCUUUCGGAAUGCACGACCUAACAACUCUUUUGGGCUUUGGAUGGAUUGAAGAGUUCGCCACCUAACGAAUUAAGGCGCGUUAGGGCACCUAUCUAACCUAACUAAGUCUAGCUAAGGUCAACGAACCAGAGAUCAGGGUAAGGGUUCAAAUUACCUCGAGGGGAAGGUGUUAGGCAUCCCUCGAGGUCCACAAAUGUGGGUCCCGGCCGUGUCUCAUGCAAUUUAUGUGGGGGUUACAAGUAGCAAGUAUGGUCACUACAUUCAUUAUUUAAUUAACAUGAUUGCUAAGUGAUAACUAAUAUUAAAUAACUAAGAUCAAUUUAAUUAUUUAUUAUUUAAUUAAACAUGUAAAACUAAGUGAUAACAAUAUUAAGCAAAUUAAGGGACACUUAAAUUAUUUUAAUUAGUUUAUCAUGCAUAGCUGGGUGACAACAUGAAAUUAGCAAUUUAGGACAUUUUAGUUAUUUUAAUUAGAUAGGCAUGCGAGACUAAGUGAUAAUAUAAUAAAUAAACAUUACACAAUAAAUAAAGAGGUGAGCAAGGGAUAGAAAUUUGCACAAUUAGAUAAGCAAACCAAUUUUAUUUUAAUUAAACUACCCAAAUAAAUAUAAUUAUAAACAGAUAAAGGGACAAAAGGAAAGGGAGACUCUGAAGGACUUUUAGGAUCAGCACUCGACUUUUCUUUAUUUCGGUCGGCUUCUCGUAGGGACAGACAAAACCAAGGUUUGUCAUUUAGUCCGAGUCGAUGUCAUCAUAUCCAUAGGGCCUAGACUACCCCUACCCCACCACCGCAUGCUUUUUACGUCUCUAAAAGGUGUCUAGCGUCCCCACGUAAGGUCCAAAGAGGCAUUGGACUACUAAUAAGGUGGUUUUAGACAAAAAAUAAAAUUCUUAAUAAGCCCACCUAGACACCAAAUCAAACAAGUUGGACGAUCAUUUAGCACAUAAAGUCUCAAGUUGGCCUCUAGAUUUUUAUUAAUAUGUUGGCAAACACACGAGUGACAAGGAUUCAUGCGGAGUGUGCGACAUACAAACAGACGACACUCAUUAAAAUAGGAGAAAUGAAUAGAAUAAACAAUAUUAAACAAACAGUUUAAACAGCAUGCAUAUACUUAUUAUUACUGAUUUUAAAAUGUGGUAACAAAUUAAUAUAGGAAGCAAACUUUAGAUUGAGUUUGAGUGGCCAGAGUUAUUCAAAAUGCAAAAUAAUUAUUUAUUAACAGUAUGUAAUUUGAGCAAGCGAGUGUUUAAAGUAGCAGAAGAAAUAUUUAGAAUAGUAGCAGAUUUUAUUACUUUUAUUUUAGAUAGCAGAAAUAGUAAUAUCACAGUAUAUUUAACAGUGGUAAAAAAAAUCAUAACAGAAUAUUGUUCACUGUUUAACAUGCCGAAACAGGUGGCAAAAUUAUUUUACAUUGUUUCAGCCAUUAGCAGGCUGGAAAUUACUUAAUGAUGCCUAUUAACAUGAUUUCUACGUGAAAAUUGGAAAGUCGCUUGAAACCUAUAUGCAUAAAUUCUACAUCCAAAUAAUAUAUUAAGAAUUAUAUAACUCCUAUAGGCAUGGUAUCUGAGUGUGCAUAUGCUAAAAAUAUUACCAAAACCUAUAUACAUAAUUUCUAUGUAAGACAUAAUAUAUUUCAGGAAUCUAUAGGCAUGAUUUCUAACUGUAAACAAAUUUAUGAACACUUACGGGCAUUUUAUUGACAUGCAAAUAUUUAAUUCAAUCCUAUAGGCAUGGCUUCUAAGUUAAAUCACAUAUGUGACAUAUUGAGCAAAUCAAUUAUUUAUUUUACCAGUUUUAUACAUUUUAUACAAGAAAAUUGUGGUUCACCAACACGGUAACAUAUAUCAAAUUGUAAAGGUCACACAUGCUAAGAUUGUGUUACAAGAAGUUUAUUAAUUAAUUUGGUAUAUAAUUAGUUAACAUUAAGUGGUCAACAUAGAACAUAACAUUUAAAAAGUAGUAAAAGUCGGCAAGAUCACUAUUAUACAUACUAGAUGAAUAAUGCACUAGUCAAACAUAUAAUUAAUUUUAGACUAAUUAGCCAAAAGGUGAUUAGUAGCAAGUAGUUUUACUUCAUUUUAUUUAUUUUUAGUUAGAUCUAAAUAAGGAUUAGAGUGCGAGUAUUAAACCAUCGCACAACCUAAGUGAAUGAUUUCUAAUGUAACCGAGUUGCGAUAAAGUAAACACGUAGCACGUAAAUCCCCAUCCCUCCCUUAGACGAUCCCCCAAAUUAUUACAUAUAUGAGAGAGAGUUAGAGUUUACAAAUUAUUACAAGACAAUAAUAGAAAUUAAAUAAUAUAUAAAACCCAAAUUAAACAAAUUUAGCUUGUCUAAUGUUUUCCUUCAAUGGCAACUCUUCAAUAUCUUGAACUUUGAGUUCAAAACCUGUUAACAUGCAACAAAAUAGGAGCAAGUAAUGAUAAUACAAAAAGACAAUUUGAUAUUAGCAAAAAUGGUAGAACUCCUGGGCACACUAAUUCAUGUACACAAGCAGCGUAUGGACACGUAAGAAUUCCAACAAGUCGUGGAGAAUAUAUAAUCACAUAUUGAGAAAGAAAGGGAUAAGGGAACUAAACCGGAUGCUUCCUCUAUUAUUUCAAGCAUACAUAAAAUAUGAACAAUGCAAAAAUUAAACUAGUGGAAGGAAACUAACCAAUUAUGCAGAAUUAUUUAUCAGCAAUGAAGAUAAAACUUAAUCAGAUACUGGACCCGAACACGGCAAAACAGCAACACAGAGAGGAACCUUUAUAUUUACCGGAAAAAGCUUAAAUUUUAAAGUGAGCAAUAUAUUUUUAUUCAAGUAAGAGCAAUAUAGAUGUCUGAGUGGUAUGAGAGUAUUCCGUGUGUAAGAGUGAGUGAAAAAGAGUAAGAAAAGAACUAGGAGGUCUCUUUAUAUAGUGAAAGGAAGGGCACAUAAUAGAGGAAAAGAAAUAAUUAAGGAGUCAAUUAUAUCAUGCUUUCCUUAAACAAAAGGAGAGCCAAAAUUAGACCUAUUUUAAUUUAUUUUUUACCGAAUAUCAACAAAAUAAGAAAUCUGCCAACUUUUAUUAAUGUAAC